UGUCUUCCACCUUGCUACAGGGAGGCAGGGGAUCGUGGCGGCAAUCCACCCACCAUGGCCGCGCCUCGGACACGCGGCGGCCAUCCCCCGUCCCUCUGAGAGGUUAAGAGCAUCCCCACACCCCGUGGAACCCUAACCCUCGUUCCUCUUCCCCGCUCAAUUCCUCUCUGGAUCUGAAUGUUGAACCGAGCCAUCGUCGCCAUGGCCUCCGAUGUCCACGCGCCCACCGAGCUCCCCGCGUCCAGCCACCUCGACCAGGAGCUUCACUGACGUCCACUCCGUCGACUAAGUCCAUCGGUCGGAGCCGGGAGCCCCUACAUCGACCACAUCGAGGUCAUCUUCAACCUUCGCCCCGCCGCUCGCCGUCUUUGAAACGGCCUCAUCAAAGCCUCCCCGACCUUCCAAGCUUGUCAUCGAGCACCGCAGUGAGCCCCUCUGCCGAUUCCCUCAUUUUUUUCCUUCGAUCUGUAGUGUUUGCCGUCGCUCCCGGGGUCGUCCGUGGUCGUCAUGGUCGGAGCUCCGCUCGCCGCGCCCCUAGUCGUGCCCGCGAGCACCUGGCCGCGCUUGCGCCCCCUGGGCGCCCCUGCCCGUCCGCCCGUUGCCACUCACGCGUGCUCGUGCUACUGCUGCUCGUGCUACUCUGUUGCUGCUCCCGCUCACUGCUCUCGAUGCAUCCUGCUGCUGCCGUUAUUUGGCCGCAGCUGCGUCUGCUCCCUGCUCCUUGUAACGCUGCUGCUUGCUAUUGCUAAUGCCUACUACUGUUGCUUCUAUCUAUACUUCUCAUGCCGCUGCUGUUGCUGGUUGCCAUGGCCGUGAGUGUGUGUUCGUGUGUGUGCACGGUUGUGCCACGGCCGGCCCUUAUUUAAUUAGUCUAGGCUUAGUUAGAAGUACUACUAGUUUAGUGGUAAGUUAAUCUAGUAGUAGAUGACAUGUAGACCCCAUUAAAUAAGUUAGAUUUAUUUAUUUGUUUAGGUAAUAGUCUAUGACAUGUGGGCCACACCUGCCCUUUUGACUAGUCAAUUUGACUUGGUCAAUUCGGAUUAAACUAAAUAUAAAAAUUCAGAAUAUGUUUAAAACUUAGAGAAUUCAUAGAAAAUAAUCCGUAAGUCGGAUGAAAAAGUUUUCUACAUGAAAGUUGCUCGGAAAAAUUCAACGAAUCCGGAUACGCGGUCCGUUCAUCUGUCAUAUGCCCCUAGCAUGCUGAACAUGGAACCGUCCCCUCUCUUUUCAUUUGUCCGAAAAUGCCAAACUACGGGAAAGCAUUCCCGGAUGUUAUCCCUCUUCGUCGUUAGCAUGUAGCACCGCAUUAGAAUACAUCUAGCUCUGCCUGUUGUCCUGUUAUGCUCUUGCUUGCUAUGUAUUUACUGUUUCUCCCCUCCCCCCCCCCUCUUCUCUUUGGUAGACCCCGUGGUGGCUGUCGAUGCCACUGUGAUCGACUACGUCAUCGACGACCCCUCCUUCUCGUCUGAGCAACCAGGCAAGCCCCCCCUUUGAUCAUCCCAAUAUCGUCCAUUUCAUUCUCUCAUGCUUGCAUUAGAUUUUGCUAUUGUUAUUGUUUGCUUCUAUUCUGAUGCAUAGCCUGCUUUUGUAACAUGUUUAUUGUUAUCUUACCUGCUUAUCCUAAACUGCUUAGUAUAGGUUGGUUAGUGAUCCAUCAGUGACCCCCACCUUGUCCUUGUGGCCCCUGCUUCAUCAUUGAAGACCCGAUCAACGGGAUCGAAGACCAGGCCCCGACACCGCACAUCACUUUCCCCUUAGUUGCUCGACACUACUGGGUUACUAUCGAGUGCCGAGGGUGAGACCUCUACAGCACUUCUGAUGUUAACCCUAUAGUGUAGCUAUUCGGUCGUGGUCAUCGAGGGUGAUUCCGCCUUAACCACUUCCGAUACGACUCUGUUGUGCAACCCCUCAAGUGUGAACCUCGGGGGUGAUUCCUCUUACGUUCACCUUGAUGAUUACAUCGACUGGAAUUCAUCGAGGGUGAUUCCUCGGGUUUUCCCCUUGAUGUUUAGACACACAGUUACUAUGAUUACUAUGACUUUACACUGAACCAUGUUACUAAAGACGGGUCGACCCUGAGGGGUACCCGCGCAAGCAUAAUUGCGAGUGAUAUGGAGUCGGGUUGACCUGGAAGGUGCUCGAGAGAUAAUUACGAGGCGUGGUCGGGCAUUCUUAGCCCUUGCCGCAAGUCCUCGAGAUGGGGCAACGGAGUCACAUCUUUCGUGAGUCUCUGCUUGUUAGCGCGUGUUCCUAAUACACUAAGAUUUGGAUAUUUGAUCCGAGGGGCCUCUGGCCUGAUAGCACUAACCAUCACGUGGGCAUAGUAUGGGCGUUCUGCGUCGUAUGCAUCAGCCGAAGCUUAAUAGACGUCAGCGACUUAGCGGUGCGCGCCGGGUUGGACUGGUAAGCACAUGCCUUUUUAAAGGAGGUAGCUAGGUCUGGUCACCGGCGUUGUACGCAACAUGCAGGAGUUCCCGGGGCGAUGGCCCAUGACCCCUCGGGGCAUAGGUUUAGUCCGGCGUGCUGACCUCUCUAUUAAGCCUAGGUCGGGUUGCACGUACUGUUUGGCCGAGGUCGAGCAUGACCCAAGAAAGUGUUUCCGGCCGGAGUUAAGCGAGUGUGGUGGGUAAGUUGGUGCACCCCUGCAGGGAAGAAAACAUCUAUCGAUAGACUGUCCUACGGUGACGGAUACUUGGAGUUGUAUCCCGACCGAUACAACUAGAACUGGAUACUUGUGAUGAGAAUUGGAUUGUGAUGACAAUUGGAUAGUAUGGCUCUAGGAUUGCUUUCUCGCAGGGAGUCGAGAAAGGAUCUUUGGCCGAGGUUGAUAACACUACUACUACUGUACUUUAUGCUACUCUACUCCCUCCUGUUUGCUGCAAGAUGAUGGUUUCUAGAAGAUGCUAGUCUUCGAUAGGACUAGGCCUUCUCUCUAUUCUGGCAUUCUACACCCAGUCCACAUAUACAGCCUUCCUUUGAUAAUGUUGCAUAUGUAGUGUAGAUCCUUGCUUGCGAGUACUUUGGAUGAGUACUCAUGGUUGCCUUGCUCCCCCUUUUUCCCCUUUCUUUUUCUUUCCGGUUGAUGCAACUAGAUGUUGGAGUCCAGGAGCCAGAUGUCACCGCCGGUGCCUACUACUACAUGAAGACCGCUGAUGACCAGGAGUAGUUAGGAGGUUCCCAGGCAGGAGGCCUUGCCUUUUCGAUCGUAGAUGCUUUUGUGCUAGCCUUCUUAAGGCAAACUUGUCUAACUUAUGUCUGUACUUAGAUAUUGUUGCUUCCGCUGACUCUUGUGUAUUCGAGCUUAUGUAUUCGAACCCUCGAGGCCCCUGGCUUGUAAUAUAAAGCUUGUAUUAUUUUAAUUUGUGUCUAGAGUUGUGUUGUGAUAUCUUCCCGUGAGUCCUUGAUCUUGAUCGUACACAUUUGCGUGUAUGAUUAGUGUACGAUUGAAUCGAGGGCGUCACAAGUUGGUAUCAGAGCCGACUGCCUGUAGGUAGCCCCCUUUAAACUCCUUGGUCGAAGUUAAGUCUAGUCUUUGAAAAACUUUUACUAACAUGGCUGUGUGUCUUACGGGCCCACGUUGCCAUUGGGUGGUAUUAGGAUCUUUUAUUCCUCGUCUAUACUCUUGGACUCUGAUCUCUCAUCUAUUCGGGUUAAAGGUUUUACUAACUCUAACCUUAGGUUCUCGUAACUACUUCCUCCCGGAGAGCCCCUCAUUCCAGAUGGUCGCUUGGUGCACCAGAAGAUUCCGAAGAUACUCUUCGAUGUUUUCCCGAGACCCUUGUGCCCUUUGCCGUUGCAACUCCUUACCACUGAUGAAUCCCUAUGGAUAGCCACAUACCCUUGCCGUCAAAACCUUCUUUUCCAAUUGCUCUUGCUAUUACAAGAUACCCUAAAAUACUUUCCGAUAUUCCGAAAAUCCGUUGCGCCUGCUGCCUUGCAGCUCCUUUCUGCAAUGAAUACAUGUUCGAAUAAUUCCUCACACUUAUCGAGGAUUUGUUCACUCCUAGUUGUUCAUGUGUUUCACAAAAUAUCAUGAAACGCUAUUCGACCUUCCGAGAAUCCUUUGCAACCUAUUGCUUUGGAAAGUCUUGCAUGCUGGCAUUAUGGUUAAUUCCAUAUUUAUAGUAAUCUCCGUUGACAUCCUAUGUCUCUAUCGUUUCGAGUCCCUUCAUCCAAUUUGUUGUGAAUGCUCGAAAUCCUCAAUCAGAUCCUAGCAUUCAUCCUUCCGGCUCAGACGUCACUCCGAACAUGGGCUUGUUCUUGGCAAAUGAAACCUUGAUUGAUUGUCGAUAUAUAUCAAUUCAACUCAAUUAUCUUUUGAUCACAGCCUCUGCUUCUGAUCUUCUGAUAUGAAAAUCGUAAUUCCUUUGUACUCCCUCCUUCCAUCUAUAUAGGGCCUAAUGCAAUUUUUAAGACUGCCUUUGACUAUUGACAAGGUUAAUAGUUCAUGACAUGCACAAUGUGAAAAUUAUAUCAUUGAAAGCUCCUUUCACACAUGAAUUUAACGGUGUGCUUUGUGUAAGUUGCAUGUCAUAUAUUAUUGAUCUAAUAUUUGGUCAAAGUUAGCCUCGAAAAACGCAUUAGGCCCUAUAUAGAUGGAAGGAGGGAGUAUUCAAGCUUUGAAGUUAUCCAGAUAUAUCUAUAAUCCGAUGCCUUUGCAUUAUUUCUUCUUUUGGUUGAGUAUCGAUACUCACAUCAGAUCCUUUGUUGGACUACCAUCCGACAGUGCCCUUCGUAUUUAAUCAUCUUUUGAAUUCUUCCCUGCUACCUAAUGUCUUGGUAAAUUGUAUCCCCUACUUUUGUCUACCUUGUUCUGCUUCCGAGCUUGAGUUAAUUACCUCUAACGUUUUUGCAAAUGUUCCUAAGAUGCCCCGACGGGUUGAACUAAUGCUUUCCCUAAUUUGUGUGAACCCGGAAAUUUCUAUGGGUCAUACUCUACUGGUGUUACGCCUAAUAAAAUUUCAACACUACAACUUCUUCAAAAGCGAGAAGUGAAUGAAAGGUUCAGCAUUGGAGAAGUGGGAGUCGGCCUUGAACCUUGUGCUCAUGCCCAUUGACACGAUGUAGAACUUAUCAUGGAAGCUGCUCGUAAAAAAAUAAUUACCCCCCUUGUUACAAGUUCUUCUGGUAUCCGUGGUUCGAUCAUUUAUGAUCAUGGUUACGACCAUGAUUGUUUUCCUUUGGUUCUAUUUCUCAGACAAGUUAAAGUACUUGCCUUUUGCAGAUUAAUAUGCCUGCCCAACCUCUACUCUGCUCUACCAUCGAGUUUUACCCUCUGGUAUCUCGAGAAUAUCACAAAACUACAUAACUCCUUAUGAGUUCUUCAUCUACUAUUAUUCUCACUGAUUCCAAUUUUUCCUCGGGUUCUGAGUGGUUAGACACUCAAGGACAACGAUAACUGAAUCGAGUUUGCACAGAAAUUCAACAACUCUUGGUAAUCUUCUUUACUUACGAGUUUGUACUUGAUCACAUCAUUCCUAGCUUGCUUGGCUAUAUCAUUAUCGUGCCAAUUUUAACUGUGCUACUUGGCCCUUUUACCGGAGCACGAUUUUUAAACGAUGAGCUAACCUUACGUCGAUCUUCCUCGUCAUACCAUUUCGCCUUGAACAGCAAGCUUGAAUUCAAGUUUGUUUCGUAUCCUUGGUUCUAAUAACCUUUCGCUUUAUCAUUCCUUUGACUUGAUGUCAUCGCCGACCGACUACAUCUUCAUGAAACCUGUUGAAAAAUGUGAUGUGAUCAUCAUCAACAUUCUAAGCGUUUCCAGGACAUUAAUUGAAUUCAUGAUGAGAGAUAUCAUGCUUGCCCCCUUGAUGAUUGCGUUAACAUCGACAACAUUCUUGCAUUUCCUCAACACAAAACUUGUUCAUGUUUUGUGUUAUACCUUGAGAUCCUUGCUAUCUAGCAUUUGCUUCUCUUUUACUUGGAGUAUUACCAUCUCUAAUUUCAAGAAUGUCGUGAGAAUUUCACCACCUCUUAAGAAUUGUUGGCACAAGUGAUACUUCUUGCCAUCUCCGUUCAUUCCUUUGUCCCCGUGUUGUUUCUAGCCAGAAAAUCGACAAUUGAACUAUUAUGUGCGAAUUCAAACUUCUAGCAACCCUAUUGCUUUGAAGUUAAUGGUCGAUAGUCCAUUCUUAGACUAUUGGUUAUUGAAUCACCAUUCUAACAUUGAUCAUGCUACCUAUGCCCAUAUUUCGGAUGCACCUUUCAACCAAUGUUUAGUUGUGUAUGUUUUCCUAGAGCAUACAUCAUUAUAUCAUUUGAUCUGACAAAUGAUAUCUCCGUGUUCACGCAAUUGUGGAAAUCCAUCUUUUUGGAAGUCUUGAUGAAUUAUCAUGGAGUCCACCAGUCACCUCCUCAUCCUCUCCUUAGUUUAAUGAUGAACUCUUGUUUUGGAACUCGCUUCCAUAGUUCAUUGCCCAAGAAUCUUAUAAUGUCAUCUCGACAAUUGCAUUGCACCUUUUCUUCUCAGGCAUCCUGAGUCUGAGGUAUCCUGACACCAACCAGAUCUGAAUCUCGGUCAGAUAUGAUGGUUGGAACAUAUUUCCAAGAGUUAUAGCAAUAGUCUUUUUAUGACUCGAUAAGGUGAUGUCUUGCCUAGCACACCAGGCCGGAGGACCUAUUAUUAUAGUAUCCUUUUUAGCAAGUUUAGCCAUUCUUCCAUGAGGAAAUUGUAAGACUUAUUCUAUAAGUUGUUCCUGAUAUGGAUCCUUUGUGAAUCCAAAGUCUGAUCUUUACCCAAUGACCAUGUCAAUGCUAUCUCGAAGCAUGUCUGUGGUACUCCGAUUUUCAAAAAGAACAUUUGUAGCACAAUGCUAAAUUUUCUUUAUCAUUUAUCCUAACACCGUUGUAUGGGUAAUAUCAUGAAAUCCCUUCCCCUUACCUUAAUGGUUUUCUACUUUCUAUCCUGUCAUGGAUAUCAUUCUCCGCUUGUCCUUGGAAAGGAUAUACCCUUGAAAUAUGUGUUUAAAAAUCCUUUCCAUUGUUCUGUUUAAUCUGAUAAUCACAUUUUCCUUUCCAUUGUUUUGUUUAACCUUCUUGAGGUUUAUAUGAUCUAAGCAGUAAUAGUUCCCUGCUUAUGUAAACACCUCGGUGCACAAUUUGACAGUAAGACCCCGUUAUUAUUGUUGUUGACAUUCCGGUAAUCACCGAUGGACGAGAACUUUGCCUAUUGGUCCGCCUUGUUUCAACGAGCAAGAAAAUGGUUCUCUUCGUCCCUCGCCCUUGGUACCGAAGUUGUUGCCGACAUAACUAAUAGGCUAUUUUCUGGCAUGCCUUGCUAUCAUGACCGUGCAAGAUGCCAGCCCCUUCCGAAUUCUAACUCACAUGGUGGGCCCAUAAUACUACAAAAAAAGACACAUCCGUGACAUUUUGGGCCGAACGAAAAAAAAUUAUGUCAUACAUAUGACACUCUAUGACAACAAUUGUGACAAAACCUGGUAUCAUCAUAGAUGUGGUGGGCUCCUACUUCUAUGAAAAAAAUCAUGACAGAAAAUGGGCUUUUCGUCUUGGGCGGGCCGGAGACGCAGCUGCAUGACAUUCUUUGGGCCAUCCAUGACGGAAAAAACUGUGGUAGAAGCGAGGGGGGGAUUUCGGGGAGUUGCCGGUUACGGUGGGAGGCCGGGGGCCGAACGAUGCGUGUUUCUCUUGUACACGUAUGCGCGUGUGUGCGAGGCGUUGGCUCUAACUGAACCCGAGCGAGGCGUUGGGCUCUAACUGAACCCGUGCGAUUGCACUACAGGCUACGCGUUACUGAACCCGAGCGAUCGAUCGAUGGCUGUUAACUGAACCCGAUCGAGCGAUUCCUUCGCUACUACUGCUAACUGAAGCCGGUCGAAUGGAUGANNNNNNNNNNNNNNNNNNNNNNNNNNNNNNNNNNNNNNNNNNNNNNNNNNNNNNNNNNNNNNNNNNNNNNNNNNNNNNNNNNNNNNNNNNNNNNNNNNNNNNNNNNNNNNNNNNNNNNNNNNNNNNNNNNNNNNNNNNNNNNNNNNNNNNNNNNNNNNNNNNNNNNNNNNNNNNNNNNNNNNNNNNNNNNNNNNNNNNNNNNNNNNNNNNNNNNNNNNNNNNNNNNNNNNNNNNNNNNNNNNNNNNNNNNNNNNNNNNNNNNNNNNNNNNNNNNNNNNNNNNNNNNNNNNNNNNNNNNNNNNNNNNNNNNNNNNNNNNNNNNNNNNNNNNNNNNNNNNNNNNNNNNNNNNNNNNNNNNNNNNNNNNNNNNNNNNNNNNNNNNNNNNNNNNNNNNNNNNNNNNNNNNNNNNNNNNNNNNNNNNNNNNNNNNNNNNNNNNNNNNNNNNNNNNNNNNNNNNNNNNNNNNNNNNNNNNNNNNNNNNNNNNNNNNNNNNNNNNNNNNNGUCACACCCCUCCCGAUGAACAGGACCCAUGUUUCGGCCGUAGGAGGUCCGUUUCGUCCGUUUUGCAGUGCGCCACACCCCUCCCGAUCAACAGGACCCCCGUUUCGACCGUAGGAGAUCCGUUUCCUCCGUUUUGCAGUACGCCACACCCCUCCCGAUCAACAGGACCCUGUUUCGAACGUAGGAGGUCCGUUUCCUCCAUUGUGCAGUACGCUAGGCCUCGUUUCCAUCGCCUAUUUCGUCCAAGCCGGUUGGCUCCCAUGCGUUUCGUUGUCUCCCGAUGAACACGACGCAUUUUGUUGCCUCCCGAUGAACACGACGCAUUCCGUUGCCUCCCCAUGAACACGAGCAUUCCAUUGCCUCUCAAUGAACAGGGCACAUUCCGUUGCCUCCCCAUGAACACGACGACGACGUUGUUUCUCUGUUCCGACCCAGCCAUGUACACGAUCCCUGACCGUACGUAUGCGCAAGUAGGCAUUUGAGACCUCGUCCGUAUGUACGUACGUGGCCGUAUUUUCUUUCUUGCACCCUGGCCGUUGUACGUACGUGUACAAGCUACGUGUGCACCUCUACUACGACACGUACGCGCCUCUACUACGACACAUGUGUGCCUCUACAUCGACCAGUAUAUAUGUACGUACACGUUUGCGACCAGAAUGACAACGCUACAUACGCUUCAACCAGGUGGGUCCCGACUGUCAGGCACUUCCUUGCAUGCGAAGAUGUAGCUGGUGGGUCCCAGCAGUCAGGGGGCGAAUCGUUUUUUUUUUGCCCGGACACACUUCCUUGCAUUCGAAGAUGUAGCUGGUGGGUCCCAGCAGUCAGGGGGGCGAAUCGUUUUUUUUCGGACGCACUUCCUUGUGUGCGAAGAUGUAGCUGGUGGGUCCCAGCAGACAGUGGGAAACGUUUUUGUGCAAAAUAUGGUGGCCCGUCCGAUGGGUCCCUGCUGUCAGGUGGAGGAAUAAUUAUUUUGCGCGUAAUAAGGAGGCACUUCCUUGCUGCGGCCGUGGACCUAGCUGUCAGCCUCUCCACGUACAGUCCACGUUCGAUGGAAGCCAUUCCUUGACCACACCGCGCCGAGAGCACCAGGGCGGUGGACGACGGCGAGGCCUAGGAAGGGGACGACGCGGAGCCAAGGAAGACGCGACAGUGGAUGCCCACACGUAGAGGAGUAUGACGGUUUACUCGUUCGGCUGCGGUGCGAGGCUGCCGUCGCCGCAGAAUAACAGGGGGUGUGGGUGCGUAGAGGGAUGGCCUGGCCAGCGGUGGGAGUAGUAGGGGGCGGUGAGGCCUCCGCGGCAUCACAGCCGGCCACGGGCGGCAGGAGCAGGCGGCAUGACCGACGCUGCUUUGGGCGGCUGGAGCAAGAAGACUAGAGGUUGAAGAAGCACUACGGUCGUUGGAUGGACAUCGUACGGUCACUGGAGCUAGAAUCGUUCAUAUAUUGACUAAAGUUGACAAAGGCCUCCGUCCCAGUCAACUUAGUAGGCUCACAAGUCAGCCUCCCACCAAGGUUGGUCCCAGCUAGCAGGGGGGUAUUCAAUUUUUUGUGUGUAAUAAGGAGGCACUUCCGGUGGGUCCGAGCUGACAGCGGGGAGAACGUUUUUUUCGCGAAAUAUGGUGGCCCGUCCUGUGGGUUCGAGCAGUCAGGGGGAAACAUUUUUUUCACGAAAUACUGGUGGCCCGUUCGAUGGGUCCCUGCUGUCAGGUGGAGGAAUAAUUAUUUUCCGCGUAAUAAGGAGGCACUUCCUUGCGGCUGUCGUGGACCCAGCUGUCAGCCUCUCCACGUACAGUACUCUUCCGAUGGAAGUCGGUCGUUGACCACAUUGACCACGCCGCGCCGAGAGCACCACGGCGGUGGAUGACGGCAAGGCCUAGGAAGGGGAUGACGGGGAGCCGGAAAAGACGCGGUAGUGGAAGCCCGCGCGGAGAGGAGUACGAGGGUUCACCGAUUCGGCUGCGGUGUGAGGUUGUAGUCGCCGCAGAAUAACAGGGGGUGUGGGGGAGUAGAGGGAUGCCCUGGCCAGCGAUGGGAGUAGUAGGGGGCGCUGAGGCCUGCGCGGCAGCACAGCCGGCCACGAGAGGCGGGAGCAGGCAGUCCCGCUGGUAGCUGCUUUGGCGGCCGGAGCAAGAAGAUUAGAGAUUGAAGAAACACGACGGCUGUUGGAUUGAUAUCCAACGGUUACAUCUGCUAGAAUCGUUUGUUGACGUAGUAUAUAAUAACUAAAAAAAUCUUGCAUACGCGUCAACUAAACUGGCCCACAAGUCAGACCACUCCCUCUUUUUUUAAUAAUGUAUAUAUAGCUCAUGGCAACUUCUUAUGCAAUUUAUUGCAGUCAUUUUUUUUGGUUGGCCAGGGCCAAUUUCGCAUAUUUCUGUGGGUUCCAAAUGAUUUUUAAUACCGAAAUGUCGAGCCAGAUUUAAAGUACUUUGAACAUAUAUUUAAAUUAGGUUAAUGCCCAGUGAAAUAGGAAUCUGAAAAUGUGAAAAAAAUUAGAAAUUAUAAAGUAAUCGUCAAUUUGUCAUCUGUUUUUAUAUUUACAACCCAUUUCAUAUUACUUUCAAGAUUUGCAGGCGUUUUGAAAGAGUUGCAGCCCAUCAGGGUGUAGAAAAAUAAGUAAGCCUGGAUUGGGUAUUUUUCAGAAAAAAUAAACUGGGCUCAUUUUCACAAAGAAAAAACAGCUGGGUUGGUCACAUGGUGAACAUAAAAUAUAAGCCUGGGCUAGACAGGCCACGGCCCAGUUCAAACCCUGCUCCGUCUCAACAAUACCAAACAAAAAAAUAUACUGCUCGAGUAGCUAUGUCUCAGGUGUCAGCCGAUCUUGUGAUGUUCUCUUGUCUAUUAACUAUAUAGGCUCACAAUGUCGUGGGUCCCAGAUGUCAGGAAAACACUAGGAGGAAGCAUUUUAUUUUUCCAUACGCUGACGUGGUGGGCCCCUACUGUCAUCCUCUCCACGUACUUCUGCCGAUUCCUGUUGUUUGUUGACCAUGUUGACAACGCGAGAGGGCGGCGCCGCGGCGAGUGCACCAAAGCGCGCGGAGGACGUCGGCGUUAACGAUUUAGGAGACGGUGGGGCGGCGAUGCGUGCGCUGAGGCGUAGCCAGCCAUGGGAGGCGGAAGCAGGCGGCCCCGCCGGCGCUGGUUUGGUUUUGGCGGCUAGAGGUAGAUAGGACUGAAGAAACAUGACAGACUGUAAAAGCCGCAGGAGUACUUGACAACCUUAACUAAAACCAGCAGGGGCACUUAACAACCAAAGCUGAAAGCAGUAUGAGUACUUAUACAUGUUCAACCGUACAGAGCAUGCUUCAAACAGUGCUACUUUGCCUAUAGUUAACCAAGGGUGAGGCCGCCAAGCCCCAGGACAAGGCCCAGGCGCCACCCCGCGCAUCCACAACCUUCUGAAAGCGGCUUCAUCUCGCAACGUGGUCAAUAAACAGGAUAUUCGCUUUAGAGCCAUGGAAAAGCAUGAACAUAAUCUUCUGUCCUAUUCUCCAAGAUGGACGGGCCUUCAUUAUUUGAGACCACCCAUGAAUAAAUAUCUUUUCACCUCCAAGGGGAAUUGAGUAGGUCGACAUAAACAUCAUGUUGUGACCAAGCGCAAGUCUGACCCGACCAUGGUCAGGCAUCUGUAUAGGAACAAUAGAACUCGGCAGUUCCUAUUUCAAGAAGAUCACAGCUGUAAAACUGUGUAUAAGCAAUAGUUUAUGAACAACAUAUAUAAUAGAAAAUAGCUCGUACCAUAAGUUUCUCGACACAUUUGGACCUAUUCAACGAGUGCAACAGUGGCACACAUAUCCCAUGUGGCCUUCCACCAUUGAAACGCCCACAAGGACCUCAAGACGAUCAAUAAAGUGUAGGAACUUGUGGAUGUCAAUCCAGUCAACUUCAGUGCCAUUAGUAACAGCUGAAUUGUUACAGAGUAACAAACGAGCAGACUGCUUAACUCUGAAAAAACCUACACGUGCCACCAAGUAUAAGAAAAUAUUAGUUAGAAGUAGCAUCUUCGUGAGAGAUUCGUUGCUACUUCUAAAGUUAAAUUGUGAUUAGUUAGAUAGAAUAGGUGGAUUAAGAAGUAAUUGAGGCAACAAGCAAGAAACAGAUACAAAACUAACAUGGAUGAACAAUUGGAACUACAUCGGGGUGGAAGAUCACAGUGAAGAUGAGACCAGGUUCUGCUAUUUCCAUCAACAUUCGUGCGCCAACUUUCAGUCCGUAACACUUGAGAAAGUUUAUCCAAGUUCGGCCAUAAAAAAAGCAGCGAUCUUCUUGGUUCAUGAACCCAACUCGGAAGUAAUAUCCAUGGCUUGUCUUCACUGUGAACAUUAAACUAGUGUAUUCAGUUAUGAAAAGGCCGAGCAUCUUGAGUACAUGUGUUCUGGCAGAGCAAAUAAUACACUGGAGGAAAAUAAUAUGAGAACAUAGCAUGUUAAAAAAAACCAACCCUCCCGGAUAGAAAAGAGGAUUCUAGGAACAUACUGUGCGCGUUUCAAAAUGUUCUGUUAGGAUGAGAAGGAACAAGUGUGGAGUCUCGCCCAGGGUGCAGAAAUCUGUAGGGUACUCGCAUUUUGGGCACUGCAACUGAAACACACUAGAUUCAGUACGAAGAAAAAUGCAUCAACGGCGGCGGCUGCCAUCCUAGGAUUACCUGCGACCAAGGGACUUGGAUUUAUCGGGGAUGGAUGAAGAAUUCGUACCUAGUUCUCCAUGAGAAAACCCUAUGCAAUCGCCGAGCGGGGGUUUUCUCUGAACAAGCAGACGAGGGAGAAGGGGAUUCAGGCCCAGUGAAAUAUUGCCGCUUCGUCCAUCUAGCUUAUUGCUAAAGCUGGAAAGGGGGGGUUGUGAUUUGACGGCUCAUUGGGCUUUACUGCGGUGCUACGACCGGGGUGUGUCUACCAUGAAGUUGUGCACUCUAAUUUGUGCAUAUGGCACGUGGACCCCGUUGCCGGUUGCCCCACAUAUCAGCGAAAGGAAGUAGAAAGACAGGAGUAACUAGUUACACAUAAAUAUAUAUUUUGACAGAGAGAUACUCCCUCUGUAAAGAAAUAUACAAAUAUUUUAUAUCACAGGCUCACCUUGCCGAGAAAUAUACUAACUCUGCAAGCACGGGCAUUAUGGGGGUUCAACUUUUUUUAUGGGGGUUCAGCUGAGAGUAUAAUACUCAGAUAGGCUCAUGGUUCUGGACUUUGGGCAGCAGGCCGACCUACAUGUUUGGGGGGCCAUGUGUUCUACCUCAGCGCUUUUCAUAUUGCAAGCAAUCGGUACGGCGCUGGUUUUAGAUGUUGUCGCAAGGCGAAUACACAAAAUUGAAUAAAGCACGGCAGCUGUUGGAAUGAAAUCGAACGACAGUUCCUAACCAGCAAUCAGAGUUGCAAUUCUAUCAACGAUAUACCAUGUGAUAAAUAAUAUUGUCAUACUACUUAUACACACAGGACACUUGUUUCACCAUGCCAGAUUAUUACAUCAAAAUCUCAAGGAGGAUAGAUCAGUUCGGCAGUUGCGUGCUGCUACUGAAGAAUUUCAAAGUUGAUUCGGACCAGCUCUCCUUGCCGAGAAAGUUCGAUUUUGACAUCAUCCCCUACCGCAAGAUAUGGAUUUAGAUUUGAACCUUGACCAUCCUUUAGUAUCAAUCAUCAUGCGACCAUCCUUUGUACUUACGGUAUAUUGAGCAGGUUCAUUCACGCCAAGCAUGCGCAUGGUAAGAGAAACUUGGCCGCGGUCGCCCGGAUUGUUGAACGACUCCCUCGUUGCUCUAGGAAUUCUCUGUUUGGAAACAAGAAGACAUACCCAAACAGUUAGAUCAACACAGUGAAUCAUGUGAAACAACAUGGAAAGAAAAAAGAAUGAAGCACUUGGGCGGCCAAUGCUUACCAAGAAGGUGGACAUGUCGGUUUUUGUAAGGACUUUGGUAUAUGAAGUGCGAACUGCAGCCCAGUCUGUUGCCGGUGCAACUGCACGGGCCGGAUCAGAUGCAAGUGCAAGUGUUGGUGCAGGUGACGAAGCCGCUGCUGCUGCCGGAGAUGGUGCUCCUUGUAGAGCUGGUGCCGGUGUCGGAGUAGGUGCCGAUGUCGAUGCCCGAUCCUCCGGUAGAUCAGACUGGUCCGCUAAUGCGGUCGGUGCCCAAUCCUCAGCUGGAUCAGACUGAGCUGCUGCCGCUGUCAGUGCUAGAGCAACUGCCGGUGCUCGAUCUGUGCGAGACAGCGGCCAUCGUGUCUAGUCUGCUAUGAUCAGCUUUCUAACUUGAUUAGGAUUCGUGACCGUGAUCCAGUUUUUUUCUUCAUUUCUUUUAAACGCGCGAAGGACUAAUUGUGACGUUUUGUUAAACCAAACUACAGUUCAUCAUAGGGAUUCAGCUUGUACUCAGACAACAGACUGAUCCAAUUUUUUCCAGUAAUAUAAGUGAUGGACAGUGCCUUCUUACUGACACGACAUAAGAAGUGAAACCUGCAAAAAUAGCCAUCGUAGAGCAAACCAAACAGUUUAUUCUAUGAUGAAUGUCACAUGGCAAAACCUGCAUCGUAAAAUUGCAGGAAAAGAAAGAAAACAUGACAUUAAAUCAAUAAGAUUUAGAUAGUAAAUCAAUAAGAUUUACAUGAUGUGACAUUAGUGAAUCCUUACCAGGAAAUCCGUAUGUCGAAGUACUAAACAGAAGAUUGAUCGUCCAACUACGCGUGGCAUGCAGGGGCCCCGCCUACUCCCACAAGCAGGAAAGUCCAAAGGUCGUGACAAAUCAUAUGGACCCAACAUCCAUGGGACUGGAAAUCCUGGUGGGUGCGAUAAACCCUACAAUGCAUACAGAUAUUGGAGUGUAACCAUAAUUGAUAAACCGUCCUCACAAAAAAUAUGAUCUGGAUACUUCAAAAUGUACAGACUGAAUUGAGUGGACAGAUAUUAACAUAUACCGUUCUCAGGACUGACCACACACCAAAAGCGGCAGUACUAAUAAACAAUACAGGGUUCACAAACACAAAUCAAGUAUUGAACAAUAGUACUUACUACACACAAGCAAAGUUGCACUAACUAAACUCUGCAGACUAUUUCUUGCCACCGACAUACGGGAUGAACCCCGCAUAACUGACUAGGCCAUGGACUUUGUGUGAGAUGUCUACAUGCACCAUCACCAUCUUGUCAACCUUGGAGAACCUAACAGGGUGGUCUUUCCACUCAUAAACAUGAUGAUGAAGAUAGGCCGCAUCAGAUUUGUUGGGAAGCUUUACAAGAACCACACCCUUCGUAAUCUAAGGCACAGUCCGGAAAUUGUUGUGUUCAAGUACAGCCUCGAGAACACGCCUGACAACAAUGCUACAGGAAAACACUAAUUCAGGACACGUGGCGACAAGGACAUAACAGCUGGAUAGUUCAGCAGUAGAACUCAUCACCAGGUCUUCCCGUUCACACGGCAUGACUUUGAGAACUUCAUCUCCAUCGCAGACCUGGUUCUAAUUCAAACAAAAACAAUAUUUUAUUACUACCUCCGUUCAGAAUUAUAAGAUGAUUUUUGAUAUUAUACUCCAUAUAUGACUACAUAUAUGCACAGAAAUGAGUGAACAAACACACUAGAACAUGUCUUCAAAGGCAUGAGAGCAGAGGGAUUACAUGCAAUAUCCAUAACACAAGUUACUGAAGCAAAUAUACCCUCUUAAAAGGUAGCAUUGAUGUUCAUAAAGUACUCCCUCCGUCCCAAAAUUCUUGUCUUAGAUUUAUCUAGAUACAGAUGUAUCAAGUCACAUUUUAGUAUUAGAUACAUCCGUAUCUAGACAAAUCUAAGACAAGAAAGUUGGGACAGAGGGAGUAGUUGAAAGUAAUCUAUAAGAAAUCAGUGUCAACCUCUCGCAUGUUUUGGUCAAAAUAGGAAUUUAGAACCGUCAUUUGGCACACUAAAAUCACAUGCAGGAUCACCCAGAAAGUUGUACUACCAGUACUAGUACUGCGUGUUAGAUGAAAAAACACGAUCAAGAUCGAGAAAAAGAUCAUCAACAAGAGACAUUACCUGGACUUGCUUAAUGAGGGAUCCCGGAGAGGGGGGCUUGGACUGGACGAUGGCUUUGAGCUUGUCUGCGGUAGUCUCGGCGGGGUGCUUGUGCUUCUUCGUACCAUGAGCCUCGACGGUUUUGGCCAGAGCCAUAGACAUCACGUCGGCCGGUGCUCCGGCGUCCAUCCAAGAGAGGAAGCUAAGAGAGAAGAGUGAAAGGAGGAACGAGAUGAGGGAGAAGCGAAGCGAGUGGGGGUUUUCUUCAAGAGAGGAAGCUGAGAGAGAAGAGUGAAAUGAUGGUUGCUUCGUCCGUCCAACUUACUGCUGGAAAGGAGGGGGUUUUGUGAUUUGACGGCUCAUUGGGCAUUACUGCGGUGGUUCGAUCGGGGUAGUCUACCAUCACUCUACUACGGAGUAAUUUAGUGCAUGGCUGGUGGACCCAGGUGCUGGCUGUCCCACACAUCGGCGAAAGUGAGUAAUUUAGUGCAUGGCUGGAGGAGGAUCUACAUGGUAGAGCGUGUCCACUGUUUUUCAUUCUGAAGAAAAAAAUGAUUACAGCAAGCGUUUCCACUCUUACGACGGAGGAGUGCGGAACACGACAGCCACUUGAACAUACACAGUGCUCCUACUACUAGGCAUGUGCAGUGGUUCAUACGUCAGUACUACACAAUCUUGUUGUUAGUGUAGUAAGAUAUGACGAUAACAAAUGAUGUUGUGCGCAUGUCAACUACUCCUAUAUGUAACAUAGUACCACUUUUUCGACUGUCCGGUCGAGAAUGAACGGUGAGAUCAAUGUUAACAGAACUAGGUCCACAGCGCACGGAGAGUAUGGUUCUACAGUACUCCACGAAACAUGAACCAUAUAAAGCACAAAUAGUGUUAGACAGGGUGUAUGAAGGGUGCACGGGAUGGGAGCAAAAGUUCCCUUCUCGACCCACUUUUGGGUGUUUGGCAGAGUGCAUGAAGGGUGCAUGAGUCCAUACUAGUAGGUUGACAAAAAUACACGAAGAGGAAACAACUAUAUUGAGAUGAGAAUGCAACCAAACACACCCACACGCUUUGUGCUACUGUGACUGAUCUGCAUCGUCUGAGUUUGAUCUAACGGUCAUGUUGCGCCGAUACAUGGACAUGCCCAUGUAGAGGGCGCCUAAACACCACCAAAGUCCCUCUGCUUCUCGAGGCGCAUGACAUUGGUGAUGCAGGAUGCAACCGCCCAUAGAGCCCGCUCCCGGUCGACGAGAGUCAGCUCGUCAAAGACGGCGUCCAAUGGCACGAAUGGAUUCCGGUAACGGAGCCCUAAAAGUAUUUGCCGGGCAACGGCGACGGCAGCCCGCAACCCCUCCUUGUCCAGCUUAGCCCCCACCAUCGCGCGGAGACGGCUCAGCUCCUCGGAGAUAUAGUCAAGAAGGAGAACAGGUCAGGAAGCCGCAGCUCGUUGAAGUCGACCGGGUGGUCGAACGGGUUUAGCCCGACGGCCGGCAUCGUCGCACUGGCACGAUGGUAGGCAUCGUGCAGCCGCAACACGUGUGUGGCAACUUGGUUCACCAAGUGGCUGAGGCGAUCCUGGACCUCGUCACGAUCAGCCUGCUCGCGCUCCAGCCGGCUCCCCUGACAGCCUAUCAUAUCUCCUGCUUUCUGCAGCAACGCUGCCAAUGCCUCGAGCAUCUUUGUGGUGGAUGCAUACCGCUUUUGAAGCUCCGUGAACUCCCACACAUAACAGAGGAGCAUGGCACUCCUCUCCUCCUUGAGCUCAUAGAGCUCCACAUCCUUGGCCCUGAGCUCAGCAUCCUUGGCAUGGAGAUCCUGUGUCAGACGCCUCACCUCGGACUCCGUGAUCUGCUGCGCCGCCAUGGCACCAGGUAGAAGCAAUGGGGAGAGGAAGCAAAGGGGGCGAAACAGCUGCAAGGCAAUGCAAUCUACGGCAAGGCGGAGGGAGCCAGCCGAGGAGCGGGGAAUCUUUUGGUUUUCACCAUGGUAAAACACUAGUCGACGACUUCUCACAUCAGGGAGCAGUGGGUUUUUACAGGCGGAGUCAUCGUGACUAAUUGCUGCCGGGCCUGCUCCCAUCAAUCAAAAAAUUAAAAAUCUUGUCGCGCCUGCUCCUGUCAAUCAAAAAAUUAAAAAUCCUGCCGCACCCAAACACCAGAGCAACGCUGCGGUGGAUAUUUAAAUUUACCUGCCGGCAAGUAGAUAAAAAAAGGGGUGAAAAAACAAAUGUGGCGGCGACCUAGCUAAUUGGUCGAACUAGCCCAACUAGCUAGCCACCGUGCUUCACUGAUGUACUCGGCGGGAAAGGUGGUCUUUUGUGAUUUGACGACUCAUUUACUUGCUUCGGCGCUACGACCGAGGAGGACCCAAAAAACGCGUGGUAGGGCGUCCCACGUCAGGAAGAAUAUAUGCGUGCACCACCCGGGAGGACUGCGAAACCGCGCGGUAGGGUGUGCCACAUCUCGGCACAGAGGAAAAUGUGCGUGUAAAAAUAUACUGUAUCAGACGUAGUACCUAUGGUUCGACCUUGGGACCCAGUCAGUCAGUCGAAAACACCCCACUAGCCACACAGCUUCAACAUGCAAACGUGGCACGGUUAGCUCCGUCUCGACCAGCCACAACGUCUCUUGUUCUAGGCGAUUCUUCUAUUUUCCAAGCUUUUUUUUUGGUUGUAAUAACACCACAGCAAGCUAGCGCCGCUCUUCGUGUGCGCUCGUGCAAAGGUUAGACGAUGGAGAGAAGAGAGAUUGAGAUCGCAGACCUGGGACCCACCAGUAAGUGAGACAUCGGUCAUGCACGUGUUGACGAGGCACUCCAUCUACUCUACUCAACGCAAGUACUGUAUAAAAUCAAGUUAUGGGACAAAGCCAACAAUCGUUCGUUUUUUCAGGCUAUCGACUUAUGCUUUGUAGUCCAGGUUACUAGUUCGAAUCUCGUCUUUCAGAUUUGUUAGUUUUAGGUCCAAUUUGAUUAAUGACAAGUGGGACCCCCGUGUGUUGUUCCGAUAUUUCAGUGUAGGAUGGUUUUUUUGAACAAACACUUUGCGCGGUUAGACAAGUAACGGCAUGAGUUACACGUAUUUUGCAAGUUUACGAACAAAAAUGACAGCGACAUAGAAUAUCACAUCCACCCCGCAACUUAGAUACUAUGGUGAUACGAGUUUUUACACCGUUGGAAGUGAGAUCCAAUGGCUUGGGAGUAGUCUUUGUAAUUAUGCGCAAUUUCCAAACUCUCCAAAGGUUUUUUUGCAAAUAAAACAUUUAGGCCUCAUGUGUGCCGCUGCAUCUUCGAUCCAACGGCUCCCCGGUGCUCAUAUUAGGUGCUCCCCAUAGCUUAAUUACCCGCUACGGUGAUAUGAGCAUCUAGGUUGUAUGAUCAGUGAUCGGAUGGCACAUGCGUAGUACUUGUACUUUCUGCGCAUUUCCCAAACUCUAUCAACCGUAUAUUGCAAAAACAUUCAAACCUCCUACUGUGGGCCGUUAGAUCUCAGUGAACUCGUAUCACCAUAGAAUCUAUGGUGCGGGAGCACCUCAUACUCUCCCGUGCGAGAAAACAUAAGGUGUUAUCGCAGCUUGGAUGCUACGGUGAUAUGAGCUUGCAGGUCGUUUGAUCUGAGAUCCAAUGGCAUCUAAGCAGUCUUUGUGCUUGUAAGCAGUGUCCGAACUCUUUUGGGGCUUUUUUGUAAAAAACCAUUUGAACCACCGAGGAGGUGUUGGGUCACAGAUCCAACGCCUCCGAAGAGCUUGUAUCACCAAAGCAUCUAAGGUGUGGUAGCACAUGAUAUUCUUACAUACAGGAGAAUAUGAUGUCCUCCUUCAUCUUAGAUGCUACGGUGAUACGAGCUUCGAGGUCGUUGGAUAUGGGAUCAAAGGGCAUCUAAGUAGUUUUUGUACAAAUUGUGUGCAAUUCUCAAACUCAUCAAGGUUUCCUGCAAAAAAAUUAAGACACAUCAUGUGAGCUGCUAUAUCUCAGAUCUACAAGCUCCAAGCAACUCGUAUCGGCAUAUAGCAUCUAAUGUAUGGGGGCACAUGAUAUUCUCCCGGGGAGGAGGGGUGGGGGUGCACAACCAAUCAGUGGUUGGGAGGGUGGGGACAAAUAUAAUCUAAACAACCCUAAACAGAGCUCCACAAUUUUAUCUAAGGUCGAGGGGUUGACCCCCCACAAUCAUAGCUCCGCCUAACCACAACAUUUGCAUGUACUGUAGUACUAGACUUAAUAUUCAUGUUUCAGUUUCAUGUUCAUUUUAAAUAUUGAACUGAGGACCAUGGAUGUCUUACAUUUUACUCCCUUCGUUCCUAAAUAUUAGUCUUUUUAGAGGCUUCAAAUGGACUGGCACAUACGGAUGUAUAUAGACAUAUUUUAGAGUCUAGAUUCACUCAUUUUGCUCCGUAUGUAGUCACUUGUUGAACUCUCUAAGGGCAUCUCCAGCGUUGGCCCCCCAGGAGGGGCAAAAAAUCGCCCCUGGGGGUGCACCGGCGCUAAACCGCGCACUGGGGGCGUGAUGCCCCCCAAUCGCGGCGCCCACGGUUAGUCAAAAAAGUCAAAUACGGUGCAAAAACGACUCAAAUUUAACGCAAACAUCGGCGAGUUCAUUCAAACUUAAACAUAUUUUACAAAAAAAGAAAAAAACUACCGCGGGCUACCCCCGUCGUCUCCCUCGCCGCCCGCCUCGCCGCCCGCCCACGCGGUUCUACAUGCCGAGGAGGCUGUAGAACCGCGUGUAGUCACCGCCGUCGUCGUCAUCGUCGUCAUCAUCGUCGCCCACGCCUACGCCUCCAUCGGCCCUGCUGCAUCCCUCCCCCGGUUGGCGCGGCGGGUUGGACGGUCCGGGGGCGUCGUCGUCGUCGUCGUCGCUGUCGAGGACCAUGACGUCGUGCUCGUCCUCGCGCCCACGCUUGCGGGCGGCGAUCUCCUCCAGGGCCCGGCGCUGCCGGACCAUCUCGUCGCGGAGGUAGUCGUCCCACGCCCACCGCAUGGCGUCCUCGUCGGAGAAGCCGCACCGGGCUAUCUCCUCGUACUCCGCGGGGAAGCCGGGCUCCGGCUUGGGCUCGACGAGGACGAAGUGGCCGGUGGGUGGAGAGGCGUUGGCGCCGAUGCGGACGCCGGAGCUGCGGGUGCGCGCGCUGACCGGCGUGCCCUGGGGCUCCGGCUUGACGGGGCGGAGGCAGGGCGAGCCGCCGGAGGAGGAGGAGGACCCCCCGGUCUCCAUGCGCCUCGGGGUCCAGGAGCUUCCCCGGCGGCGUGAGAAGGAAGGGGGAGCGGGGUACUCGAGGCGCGGCGUGUUGCCGCCCUCGAUGUACUCAAGGACGGCCUCCAACGUGCGCCCGGGCACGCCCCACCACCGACGCCGGCCGGCGGCGUUGAGCCUGCCGGAGGGCACGACGCCGUUUGUGGCCUCGAGCUGCUGGGCGUGACGGCGGCGGAAGUAAGGGUCCCAGAGCGGGCUGUCGGGGACGUACCGUGGCCCCUCCCUCGCCGCACGCGGCAGGUUCGAGCGGAUGCGUGCGAUCUCCGCACGCCGCGCCGCGCCGGUGGGUACCGGGGGCACCGGCACGCCGCCCGCGCUGAUCCUCCAUGCCCCGGGCACCCGCAUGUCCGCGGGACCGGGUACUCGGCCUCGUAAAGGAGGCGAGCCUCGUCUUCAUGAAGAUGGCGGCGGCCGAAGCCGUUCGCCGCCGCGCCGUCGCUGGGAAGCGCUCGGCCACGGGUGUGAACUAGAGACGGCAAAAGAAAGGAGAGGAGAGGGAGGAACGACGAUGGCGGGAGAGUGUGAGUCGCCGAGUGCGCCGGGGCGCGUCAUAUAUAGGCCGAGGCGCGCGUGCCACCGUGUGUACGCGUGGCGGGCGAGGGAGGGCGAGGGACGCGCGUCGUCCGGUCUUCACUGCGCCGCCCGUGAGGCAUCAAUGGUGCAUGCUGACCGGCGCGGCAGCGCGCGACAGCUUUGGCAUUGAUUCGCCGCGGGAAACGAGGCGAUGAGGACGACGAAGGGCCGAGAAGAGAGCCGUGUCGCUGAUGCGGCGGGCCUGCGGCUUUUUCGCGCCAAAACAGUUCACCCGGCGUCCCCGGGCGCCCCCCAGCGCGCCGGGUUCGGGCUGGGUCCGCCGGCGCUAUUUUCGGCCCAAGCCGGCGAAAAUCGGGCUCCUGGGGGCGCGACUGGGCCGGUUUUUUGGCGCCGGCACGAAAAAAACGCUUGGGGAGGCCUUCCUGGGGGCCCGACUGGAGAUGCCCUAAAAGACUAAUAUUUAGGAAUAGAAGGAGUAUUUUUGAAUUCGUGUCAUACAUGCAUGGUUUGGAAAAAUAGAUGCACUAUACUUAUUGGAUUGUUGUUGUGUUCGUGCGUAUGUGUCUGUGUGUGUGUGUGGUCAUAUGGUUGAUACAUACAAAGUUUUCAAACCUCCAUAUUGUUCAUCUUUUAAAUUUGAAUUCGCAUUGGAAAACUUACUAGAGAUACCAUGAAAUGUGAAAUCCAUGUUGAGAUCACUACAUCACAAACUCACUCUAAUUUAACAACUCGUCAUAAAUCAAUUACCACGUUGAGAUUAGUAUUUGCAAGGAAAAUACGGGUAUUGUAAUACACAUAGAUUCGUUCGGCAAUUUAAAAGGUUCCUUUCGUAUUCUCGAAUGGUAGGACCCAACGGCGUACCAGCCAGACCUUGGCUCGUGUUGAUCCUAAAAAAAUCGGGCUUGUGUCCUUCGGUGGCGUGCGUGGUAUGCACAUUAGGCAACCCAAACCAGUCGAGCCUCAGCGUUUCAAGUCGAAAUAUCUGGCAGCCAGAAUUCCAGCCCUAGGAAAUUCCCCUCAUGUCCCCAGUCCAUAAUGACUACCGAUGAACAACGGAGGGAUGCUUUAAUAACUAGACAACGUUACCUACCGUGCCGAGCAUGGUUCAAUUCCCUCGGUCGCCGCUCGUCAAGGUCACCCAUCAACUGCAUUGCCUAGUACUACUACUACUACACCAGGAUGAGCACAGAAUUGAGCCCGUUUGUUCGUGCCUAGUACUUGAGUUAAUAUAUCAGGCAAUGCACUGGUGCGGAGGAAUUGUCCUUUUACUCUGCAUAUAUAACUUGUCUGUAGUCUAAAUAAGCAAAAUGUUUGACCAAAUCCUUUCUUAAGAAAUACAAUAGGACAGAUGUACGACUUGAAAAUUUAUUGCAUGAUGCAGGUUAUGAUAUUGUUUCAAAUCCUGGAUCUUAAAUUUCAGAAAAUCUAAAAGUGAGCAUAAAUUCUUGAAACUGAGCAUGGUCACGUGAUAUGGCACAAAUAUUACUUCGUAAGUUUUUUCUUCAAUUCGAGACAAGCUACUUAUGACAAGUUGCACAAAUGAAGAGCCAAGGUAUUUUGGAACAAAGACCUGUCACGUUAAGGCGAACGCUUUCAAUAUUGAAACCGUGGGCGUUUACGUGCCGCCACGAGUCCCCGCUUCUCAUCGGCAGGUGCCUCCCAGCAAGCAUGUGAGUCGAUGGGUGGCGUGCGAGCAGACCGAUACGCCGGCUGUCAGGGAGGCGUGCGAGCAGACCGCUGUGCAGACUCACCUGGAGGCGAGCCCUUUGACCAGGCUCCGCCGCCCACCGUCGUCCCAACUGCUCCCACUUUUAAUGUCGCCGGCGCCACAGUUUAAAAUCAACCCCGCACUACCCGGUAUCGCUACAAUCCUCUCUCUUCCUCUCCGAUUCUCCUGUCGUCUACCUCCAACUAGCCUGACCUAAACGUACGCCAUGCCGCAUCACGAUAGUCUGCCCUUAGUGUUCCAGUUUCAUGAGGAAGACACCCAGCCGGAGUCUCAAGAACAUAAGGCACUUUGGGACGAGCUUGAACUGGCCUUGCGGGAAUACACCGCGCCUGUCCCCGCUCCCGUUCCAGCUCCCGUCGCCCCGACUGCGCCAGCGCCCAUCCCCGUGGCAUUGAUGGGCUGGGAGCCGCACAUUGUCGCCGAGCUUGAUGCCACGGGGUUCCACGAGGUCCCCGCCGACUUUCACGCGCCCGUGCACCUGCCAGCGCAUGCGCCUGCGCGUGCACUGAUGCGCACGCCCAUGCCGGUGACCGUGCACCUGCCAGCACGUGCGCCUGCGUCUGCACUGACGUGCGUUCCCGUGCACAUGAAUGUCUCUGCCGCGCCGUUGACAGCGCAUGUCCCCGCGCGGGUGCCAGUGCCCCCCUCAGCGGCAUGGAUGGCCGCCGUCGACCGCUUCCUUGCACCAACGCCAGUCGCCUCCUCCCACCAGUUGACUCGCUCCGAAGUCCAGAACAUUUUGGCCUUCCUUGAAGCUAGGCCAACGUCCAAGAGUACACCAACAAUGGCGCAAGACGCCGCCGUCGCCGUCGGUCAGUGGCCCGACGACACACAGAUCACGGCAGAGGAUCUGCUUCCCACCGCGAGACGCCCCCCCGCCGCCGCGUAAUCUAAAUUUGCCAUGAAAAACGUUCGGAUUGCCAUGCUUAAAAUCCGAACGUUUAUCAUUUCCGUUUAUUUUAUAUCGAUCGUCGUAUAAUUUAAAGUCGGAGUCAGACUGAACGAAAUGUGUGGUUUGAUCGAUUGAAUGUUCUGCUAGAGUCGUAUCAAAUUAAAUAUAAAACGUCAUCAAGCCACAUGUAUUCCUUGUCAUCCAACGACCUAGACUUCUUCAAUGUCGAGCGCUCAACACGUUUAGCGUGCAGUUAAUUUCAUGCCAAAAAUAGUGCUAAUCACAUGACAACACGCAAAUAAUAUCCUAGUAGUUAAUAUCCGCAUGCACUUAAUAUACUUCCAAAUUAACAUGCAUUGCACGUACACACUAACUAGUGCUGCUAGUACGUGAAACUGGUGCAGUGACUUGUGAACGCGUCCAGAUAUGGUCAACGGCAACAUCGCCCACGAGUUCUUCCUAUUUGCCCUUGCGUCUAAACGCAGAACGGGAGGAGAGAGAGAGGGCACACAUGGAACCCACCAGUAAGUGAAGGCGAAUAGUACUAAAAAUAAUAUUACAUGUUAUCCAUUAAUUAGGUUGUGGUAAUAUAAAAACAUUAUGUGAACAAAGGGGGUACAACAAACAUUGCUACUCUACGUAUAUGUUGCCUAAUGACGUGUGGCUUCAAGGCCCGGUCGCAUGUUCGAUCCUCGUCCUUUAUUUUUUAAUUUGUAUAUGGGUCCAAAUUUGUUUCAUGACAUGUGGGCCCCUCGGUGUGUAGUUUGUAGCACUUUAAUUUGUGGAUCGAAAUUUGUUCCAUUCCAAGUGGACUAUCGGUGUGUAGUUUUGUAGCUUAUUUAUAAUAAUUAAAGAGAACAACAUAGUUUUUUCAAUAAUACCAUGGUGCGACGUUGAAGGCAAGAAAGGACAUGUGAGAGAGCGAUGACCGAGCCAGAGGGAAAUCAAGUAGGGGAGUUGCGUGGGUUGCAACGGUGUUUGGAGUAGUUGUGGGCCGAAUGCUACGAAAAUAUAAUCUAAACCGACCGGAAUAAAUGCCUACACAAAUUAAUCCAAGGUUGGAGUGCCCCUCGCAAUGUAAAUAGCUCCGGCUUUGCGAGGGAUGGAGAGGUAGUAGCUUCAAUGCGUGGAAGAUACGGUGUGAGAAAAGCGAGGUCAAUCGAGAGACAUAUAGAUAGAGAGACAAAGUGAGUGUGGUCCGACAUUCAUUGAACAAAUAUAUAUGCUCUCGAGAGAUAUUGUCCGAUUGAGCUUUUGGCAAAGGUGAGGGCUGUAAGAUAGAGCUUGAGAGAUGAUCUAGUCACAGACGUGUAGAUAUAUUUUGUGUGGGGGAGGAAGCAAGGUCAACCGAUCACAUAGGGUCACCGUGCGAUCGAAAGAGUGAAACGGGUUGGAGAGAGUGACCUAGAUAGACAAUGUGCGUGAGAGAGUAUACAAUGUGAAUAGGUCGAAUUGGGCUCAAACAUGGUGAUAUAUCAUUUUUGUCCGAGAAAGAGCGAGGUCAAUCGAGACAUACAGAGAGAGAGAGAUAGAGAGAGAGAGAUUGAGUGAGUAUGGCCCACCAUGAGGUCGAAAGAGUGGCGGCAGCUUGGAUGGACUGACCUAGAUAGACAAUCUGCAGAGUAUAGAUUGUGUCGAUCGAGGCCUGUCGGGGAUAUACCCCGCGAUAUAAACCGCCGGAUGUAUGACCCGGCUAGAGUUUGGCGAUUCACUGGCAACCCACUUGGACAUGGCGGUUUACGGUUCAUUGGUAAUCCGGCAGGCGGGUCAGAGGAGCGACAAGAGCCGGUGGCCCAACGGGCGGUUUAUGGAAGGCCGGAUCAUGCUAUGGUGGGCCAGUUUAAGAGAAAAGGCGUGAGGAAUAUUUACUCUACAAGGAAGACCCGGACUUGUAUCCGGUUUGUAUUAGAAGGGAGACUAGUCCUAAUCCUAAUAGGACUCCACAUGUAACCCGCCCCUUCAACAUAUAUAAGGAGGGGCAGGGCUCCCCAAAGAGGAACAAGCAACAAGCAACAAGAAACAAUCUUAGGGCUAGACACAAAGAGGAAAGCCGGUUUACGGCGACUCCCUCGUGAUGAUAAUGAGACCUAGCCUCAAACAGCAUGUAAGGUUUUUACCGGAUGAUGUUUCCCGGGGCCUGAAGCUGUCUAAAUCCUUGUCUUGCGUGUUGAUCCGCCUUGCGUCUCUCGUCCCACUCAACCCCUCUCAAGCUACCACAUAGAUGCGUUGGCCUCACGACUAAGUCCUGACACUAAGGACAUCCGCCGUGACAAAUCCACGACAGUUGGUGCCCACCGUGGGGCCUGCGCACUGUGGUGUUGAGUUCUUGGAGGGCGUUUUCCUAGGGUUCAAGGAUACGCAAAUCGUUGGAUGAAGAAGAAGAGCAAAUUCAUUGAUUUUUGGAUUAGAUCGGCGAUAAGAACUUUUUUGAGCCAGCAGUAUAAGAUUUGAAAAAUAUUAUGUAUAUUGAUGCUGCAAUUGCGCGACAGCCGGGUCAGGAUCUACUACGCGUGGAAGUCGCUCAGGUCUGCGGCGUUUUUGUUGUUCCGCCGAGCACUGCCACUGGUAGCUGAGACCGAUUGGAUUUUCCGCUGCGGCAAUCAUACCGCAGGAGUACACCGAGGCCGGCUCGAAUUUCCACUGCGCCGCUGUCAAAUUUUAGCCGUCGUGUCCGAGCCGCCGGGUUGUUUUUGCCGCUCUACAUACAGCUGUCCAAAUCCCAGGUGAUCAAAGGCAGUUAAAUACGCGUCACGAGCACCAUCUGUUGGUACGGCGACGAUCAAGACAGUUGCUUCAGCCCCGUGAAGUCUCCAGGUCGACCUAGCACACGCACAGGAAUCAAGGGUCUAGGUGCUGAUUAACACAAAAAACAAAGGCUUGAUGGAUUCCCUAGCUCCUGCACGUCAAGAGGCAUCAACACAUCAAUCAUCAUAACACGUGCUAUGACAAAAUUGCAGCUGUCAAUACAUCAAAUCAUGGGUCAAAUCUGCUGCAUAUUACGUGUGCGUGAAGGACACAAGCUGCAAUCCGCCCGAGCCACCGUGUUCUGGUAUAUUAUUAAAAUUAUGACGGAUGAUACAGCAAACUAUUUCAAGUUCAUGGCACGCACCAGAUCAGCAUUAACCAUCAUGUGGAAACAAGUACGCAAGUUGCAUAUAUGGAAUCAGUACUUUCAAGAAGCUAGCACAUGAGUCAAGUCGGCGCACGAGGCAAAGACGGUGUCGCAAACGCAGAUGUCCGAGUCGUCAAAUCGGUCGGCACGGAAUCGAACAAGAAAUCAGACUCGUCCUCCACAUACCCAAGACUUUCCUACAUCAACAGCGACGGGGUCAUGAGUGCCUUAUCUGGUUAUCCCGAUGGAUAGGUUCCUUCGUCAAAUGCUUGCAUAUUUUGGUCAAAGGGUCAACGGUUUGGGAUGGUCCUCCAACGAUUUAUUACGGGAGUUAUGGAAUUGAUCAAUCGCUCCAUGUGCCGCCUCGAUAGUGACAAGCUGACGCGCACCUUCGCCGACUCGUCGCGGAGUGCAUUCUCAUCUCAAGCAUAGUUUUCAACCGUAGGCAGCCACCUCGUCGCCCUGCCCCUCCUCUGGAGCCAACCGGUGUUGAGCCGCCCCGCGUCACGCUGGCCCUGCUGCCUCGAGUCGCCUGGCCUCUUUCUCACUAAUUCAAUGAGUCGUCGUCGCUCCUGCAUUGAGCCGCCGGCGUCGUCUCCGAGUCGGUCUCGUCUCUACGGCCUCCCCGAGUCGCCGCCAUCGCUAAGUGGCCACCCACGCCGCCUUCUCCACGACCAAGCCGCCUGCAUCAGAGGAAGUACUAAUUACACUGGGAUCGUGAGUUAAAUUUUGAUCCAUGCAAAGGAUCAUCUAUCGUCUGAACGAAUCAGGUGAUAUCCCUUUAACGUAUAUCUUAUUGAUAUAUAUUGCUUUUUUUUUCAAAGAACAAUUACUUUGUCCUUUAAUAUUUUUACACAGGACAAUUUCUAUGUCAUUCACGUGCACGUGUGUCGCGGUCCGGGUUACAUCAACGCGCCGGCCAACUCGCCCGUCCGUGCCACCUUACAACAUCACGGACGACUCGCCCGUCCGCCCUGGCCACCGGUUCAUGCAUCCGCGCCGGUUUACAACGCGGAGGACAACUUGCUCGUCCGCACCGGUUUACCAUGCCAUGGCCGAUUCAUCCGUCUGCUCGCAUGGCCGACUCAUCCGUGAUUGAUUUCAGUUUCACCGUGGUGAUCAUCAACUCCGCGAUGGAUAUUUUUUGGCUAACAUAUCAGGUGAAAUUCAUCCAUUAUAUUUUUAUAUUAUAUAUAUAUAUAUAUAUAUAUAUUAAAAGAGCAAUUACUCUGGCUUGCAAGUUUUCCAAUGCAGGACAAAUUGUCUAUUGCAAAAAGGGAUUGUUAUAUCGCUGAGCUAUUGGAUAACCCAUGCUGGUUUAUAUCGCGAUCCAGUCCGCAUCAAUUUGUCAGGACCGUGCGAAUUACCCAAUAAAGCGUGCACAGGCCGCCGUCCCCUACGGUCCGGUCUACAUCAACAUACGUCCGAUUUACGCAUCUGUACCGGCUUACAAUGCCGCGGCCGAUUCAUUUAUCUGUGCCGCCUCUGAUGUUACGGUCAUCCUUGUCGUCCGUCUCUCGCGGCCUGGUCUACAUCGACAUACCGGGCCGCACCUGUCUGCAUGAGCUGUUUAUUGGAUAUGAGCAAGUCACAGCUGGGGUAGCCCGGUUUUUCUUUCAAAUUGGAGGCAAAUUAUCAUCAACUGCCGUUUGCACUGGAUGGCUCAAUAGGCAGGUGCACAAGUCGUCGCCACUACAGUUUUGGUUAACUUCAAAUUGCCAGUUGGAAGGAACCAUAGGCCGAGUUGCUGACACGGUUCAUACGGGAUCAUUUAUAACUCGCCGCAGUCACCUCAACCUUCUGUGGAUUCACAUCGUGCUGUCAACACCAAUGAUAUACAAGUUAUGUCGGUUUAUAUCACGGUCGAACAUGGAGAAUCUCAAGCCAACUCCUCGAGUCACCUUUGAGACUUGGGGGCUACGAUGACAUAACUCAGCAAAUCUUGCCAGUUUCAGCAAAGUUAAAAACCCAGGACGAUGGAGGGAAAGAUAACCCGGUCCCGGAGGCUACUGUUAUGAAAAUUUAAAGGCUGUCGGAAAAUUUCCGUCUUAGAAAGUAUAUAACAGUUACAAAAACCCGGCUCAGUGAAGAAGUUCCGGAUCAUCAGAAAGGAUUCCGGUUUAAAAUCCGGCUCAAGGGAAGUCAGUCUCACUGAAGCUCUCAAGUAUCCAGUUUACAAUCCGGUUCAAGGGAAAUAUAUUCUCCCACAAAGCUCUCAACUCUCAAAUCCGGUUUAAAAAUGUCCGGUUCAAAAAGGAAUUAACUUCUCACAAGUUCGAGUUGAAAGGCCAUCAGAAAAUUUCCGGCUGAAAAUGAAGAUUCCGGUUUACAAUCCGGUUCAAGGGAAAGAUGUCUCCCACAAAUCCUUGAAGCUCUCAAUAUCCGGUUCAAAAUUCCGGUUCAAGAAGGAUUUAUCUCUUGCAAAAAGUUAAAGGGUGCCAAAGAAGACUUGCUGCCAUGAUGCGCGGUCCAAACAUGGGUAUCAUGCCUUAUUGGCUUAUCAUAUUAUUGGUCACUUGGGGGCUUGGUCGUAUCCGAACCAUAGCCACGCCUCUUGAUCGGCCUAGUGCCAUAACAUCACUGGGGGCCUUGGUCGUGUCCGAACCAACGCGACACCUUUUGAUAGGCGACAGCCACCAGAUCACUUGGGGACAUGGUCAAGUCUGAACCAGUCACGCCUCUUGGUCGGCCUAAGGCCACAAAAUCACUUGGGGGCUUGGUCGAACCCGAACCAUUGCCACGCCUCUUGAUCUGGCAUAUAUGCCACAAAUCAUUUGGGGACCUGGCUGACUUGAACCAUAGCUACACCUUAUUGGGAGCUUGGUCGUGUCCGACCAUGGUAACACCAUCUGAUCGGCUGAGUAAAGCCUCUUUUUGUAAAUGGUCUUAUCAUUGCCUUUGCUUCCAUAUUUUUUCAUAACUGUUAUUUGAUUUUUGUUGCGUUUUUUAAACCGACAACGUUUUAAUCCGGUUCAACUGUCAAUUACAAAUUGACGAAACACGGUCAAAUCUUAAUCCGGAGGCCAUCUGCCCGGUUUGAUUUUCUGUUACCAUCCUAUUGUGGAGUAAACCGGUGUUUAUCAACCCGGCUUGACUUUCAAUUACAAGUUGUCAAUACAGGAUCAAGUUAUAAUCCGGAGACUAUCAGCCCGGUCUGGCUUGACUACGAGUCGCCAGUAUUAUAUAUGGUUAAACCGGUGUUUAUCACAACCCGGUACGGUUUAUCAUCAACCGGCACAGUAUGAAAGGAGUUAUCAUUACUCAAGAUUGGGGUUAUCACUCUUACUACAAAAAGUUGGUAAAACUAGCAAUGUGAUUCAAUAUCACAGGUAUGAUAUAUUUCAUAUUUGAUUAUUCUUAAGUGCAACCUUGGUUAUAAACCCAGGUUAUAUGUUGGGCAUUAUGACCCGUCCGGCGGUAAACCGCCAGGACACUUUAAACUUGUUGUAUGCAGAAACAGGUUGAAUAAAGCAUGAUUAUAAAUCACUGACGUUUGUUAAACCGGCCUGGCUUUCGACUAUGUGUCGCCAGUAUGAUGAUAAAUUAUCCGGUGUUUGUUAAACCGGCCUCGCUUUAAGAUGAUAAGUCGCCAGUAUAUGAUGAAAAAUUAUCCGGUGUUUAGUAAACCGGCCUGGCUUUGGACUAUACGUCGCCAGUAUAUAUUUGGAUUGCGCCAUUGGAAUCAUGUGCUUAUAAAUGAUUGGGUUAUAUUAUUCAAAUAGCCAAAUUUGGCUGAAUUUUCAUUAUGAUAUUGGAUGAAUUUUUCAUACAGGAUUAUAUUAUCUUGAAUAGCCAACAUGGCUGGAUUUUUAUGGUUAUUAGUAACCGGUAUUAUUGAGUUUUCAAAGUCGCUUUAGCGCAACAGUUAUUAUUUUAUCAAAGGAUAUGAUUUAUUCUACAAUGGAAGGAAUAGUCCCGAGUCGCUGCAGGCUCACGACCCGGCACUUGGGGGCUACAUUAUUCAAAUUGAGAUUACAUGCAAGUCUCAUGUCGCUGCAAGCAUGCACCAUGACACUUGGGGGCUAAUGCAAAGUAAUUUUCUGCUCAUAUUAUUGAAGACCCGACUCAUCACAUUAUAAUGAGUCAGCCCUUGGGGGCUACCAAUUGCUCCUGUCAACAGUUGAAGGUACAAAGCUUUUUAUUCAUUAUAUUGAAGAGUCCACUGCUCAGUUGGUAAAGCACAAGGCUCUUAACCUUGUGGACAUGGAUUCAAGUCCCAUGAUGAGGGUUACAUCAUAUGAUGUUAUUUUCAUUGAAGUAUAUAUUAAAGUCCCAGCUCAAUAUUAUCUUACUGAGCCGGCCCUUGGGGACUACACAUCAUUGCUCAAAUCUACAUGAUUAUACCUACAAAGUCCCUGCUCAUUAUUGCAUAAUGACCCGGCUCUUGGGGGCUACACUGGUUGAAGUUUUUAUGAGUAUAAGACAAUUGCAAGUCCCAGGUUGCUGUAAGCAUGAUAACCCGGCACUUGGGGGCUACAUAGUAUGGAGUAUUCAGUUUUUACUAGUCACUGGGAUGAACAACAUGGAUUUCUUCUUAAGUGGCAGUAUUUAUAUUGAAGCAAGUCUUAAGCCAUCACUUUGUUCUGCUCAAGACUUGGGGGCUACAAGUAUUAUAUUAUUAUCGAAGAACUAUUUUCAAAUUCUCUGUUUUGAGCAAACUGGAUUAACCCGGUGUCACUAAUCAUUAUGACCCUGUGUUUGUAACCCGGCGUCGUCAAUAAUCAUGAACCGGCAUUAGCAACAACCAUGAACCGGUGUUGGCAACAAUCAUGACCCGUAAUUAUCAGUUUUUAUAACCAGACAAUGGUGGUAAUCAUAAACCGGCAAGUUUUACAUCUUCAAGCCGGCUGGAUAUCAGUUGAAUAUUUCAGAGACUAAUAUAUUUGUCAAGUCAAAGCAUUGAAGGCCGAUUCAAAUAGAUUCUUUAUUUACAAAUAUUUUCUGCAAGCAAAUUGAUUAUGAAGAUGGUUAUUAACUUGGAAGGAAGAAAUGACAAGGAUUUAAGGAUGAUCAAGUGCCGGCUUACAAGUAUAUUUAAACCGGAGCACAACCCGACAAAUUUGUUCUUGUUGCAGAUCAGUUUAACAUGGAUGAAUCCAAAUUAAACUGGGGGCUAAUGUCGGGGGUAUACCCCGCUGUAUAAACCGCCGGAUGUAUGACUCGGCUAGAGUUUGGCGAUUCACUGGCAACCCACUUGGACAUGGCGGUUUACGGUUCAUUGGUAAUCCGGCAGGCGGGUCAGAGGAGCGACAAGACCCGAUGGCCCAACGGGCGGUUUAUGGAAGGCCGGAUCAUGCUAUGGUGGGCCGGUUUAAGAGAAAAGGCGUGAGGAAUAUUUACUCUACAAGGAAGACCCGGACUUGUAUCCGGUUUGUAUUAGAAGGGAGACUAGUCCUAAUCCUAAUAGGAAUCCACAUGUAACCCGCCCCUUCAACAUAUAUAAGGAGGGGCAGGACUCCCCAAAGAGGAACAAGCGACAAGCAACAAGAAACAAUCUUAGGGCUAGACACAAAGAGGAAAGCCGGUUUACGGCGACUCCCUCGUGAUGAUAAUGAGACCUAGCCUCAAACAGCAUGUAAGGUUUUUACCGGAUGAUGUUUCCCGGGGCCCGAAGCUGUCUAAAUCCUUGUCUUGCGUGUUGAUCCGCCCUGCGUAUCUCGUCCCACUCAACCCCUCUCAAGCUACCACAUAGAUGUGUUGGCCUCACGACUAAGUCCUGACACUAAGGACAUCUGCCGUGACAAAUCCACGACAAGGCCCGAACAGGGAGAUAUAUCAUUUGUGUGUGAAAGAAAACGAGGUUAAACGAGACUCAGAUAAAGAGAGCGAGAUUGAGCGAGUGUGUCCCGCCGUGCGGAAGAAAGAGUGAGACAGUCUCGAGGGAGUGACCUAGAGAUACAACGUACGUCCAUGCGCACGAGAGGUUGGGGGGCUAGAUAGGCAAUGCAUGUAUUUAGCGCGAGAAGGUGAGAGGGAGAGGGGGGAGAGAGAGAGCUCGGCAUGGGGUGCAAUGGCGGGUGUGUGAGGUAAAUACAUUUGGUAACAGGAGUGGAAAAGGGGUUGUGUAGUUGAGAGACUUAGAGAUCGAAACAUGGAGAGAAAGAAUGAACAUGUGUUGGAAAUCGAUAGCUUCCUAAGGUGGUUAGGAGUGGAAGAUUGACCGAUACAGAAAGUAUGUAGCGUUUGUGCGGGGGGGGGCUAAAACAACAUUUGAAUGUACAUAGUACGAGACUUAAUAUUGAUGUUUCAAUUCGGUGUACAUUGUAAGAUUUGAACCGAGGACCAGGCAUACGGAUAAUUUUUUCGAAUUCGUGCCAUACUAAGUUUCGAAAAGUUGACAUCGACUCAAUUUGUUGUGCUAUUUUAUAGGUCAUAUGUUUGAAUCCAUCCAAAAGUUUUCUCACUACCAUGGUGUUCAUCAUAUACAUAUGAAUUUGUAUUAAAAAAGUAGCACGGAUACAGUGAAAUGCAAAAUCCACGUUAGAAUUGGAGAUCGCUACGUGACACGCACUCUAAUUCAAAUAACUAACUACAUGACACACACUCUAAUUCAAAUAACUAAUUAUGUGACACACUCUAAUCCACGUUAGCGUGGGCACCGUUUCAAUUUUUUUUCAAAUAACUCCUCAUUAAUUAAUUUAUAGUACUCCCUCUGUUCACUUUUAUAAGACCUUGAAGACAUUUCAGACAAUGUGCAAAACAGUUCAUUUUAAGUUGUCUGAAACGACUUACAAAAGUGAACGGAUGGAGUAUCUCGUUUCGAAUGACUUAUUAUUGCAAGGAAAACACGGGAAUGGUAAUACAUACAAAUUCGUUUGCAAAUGAAAGAAGAUUUGUUUGCAUUCUCAAAUGUAGGCGCACCAGGCAGACCAGGGUCGUGUCGGGGUGGACACUGCUUCGGUGCCUUAAAGGCAACUGCCCUUGGGUGACUAACAUGUGGGCCAGCCACCUGUUGGGCCCACAUGUCAUGGACACAAAGGUAGGUGCCUUAAGGCACCGAAGCAUAUCCUGUCGGGGUGGUCGCGUGUGUCGGACGGACGCGUAGCACCUAGCCACCCACCCCCCCUCCCUCCCAAAAAAGGACGACGACAAUAUAAGUUCGCGCUUCCACGUUUCGGAUUGAAAUAUCUGGCGGCCCCAAUUCCAGCCCUACAAAAUCUCUCUUCUCCAUCGUCCCCUUCCGCGCCCAGAUUGCUUAAAUCCCUAAUUCGCCACCAUCCCUCGAAUCCCCCUCAUCUCGUCUCUUUCCCCAUCGUUCCCCACCUCUGUGUCGGACGACGACGAUGAAGAUGACGGUCGCGCUUCACCACCGCACCGGAGCUACAUCAUACGCCCUCGUCCACCGCACUGGGUGGUCCACCGACAACAUCGGCCGCCGCAACCGACGUGCCUCACAGACAUCGAGUUCCACCGCAUCAUGUGCGCUUCACCGAUGCCGUCUCCCAGCUCACCGAGGCUACUUCACCGAGCACAUCGUCGGACCUCCGCCCCCUGAGGCCGUUGGGGCUUCACCAACGGUCUCGUCCACCACAUCAUAGCGCUGCGCUGCCACUCAAGAUCUGCAUCCGUGCGCGGCCAGCCAACGCCAGCGCAUCACCCUCAACGGCUCUGAAGUGACCCGCACUCUAGCUAGGCGAGCAUGCCCAAACGCCGGUCCGAACUAGGUAUCCACACAUCACUCCCUUGUGCACUAUUCCGACGAUGUUUGGAUAUCCUUUCACUGCUCUCUUAGCUUACAUGCCUAUGCAACUCUGACUUUAACUCUUAUUUCUUCUGGAGAUAUCAUCUGAAACAAGCAAAUCCAUUUUUUAGCGAAGCAUGACGGCGCUACGGGAUCUGGUACACAUCCUGCACACCCGUAUAACCUUGUAAGUAUCUGUCCUCCUGUACAACAUCAAGGUCGAUUCCUCUUAUUUAAUCAACCAUUUGCCGUGUCAAAAAUGCAGAGGGGGAUGCAAGGAGCACAAGGCCUGCACAUCCAAGCAAGUGGUAACAUGGACUUGUACAUGGAACAUCCCAAGCGCAAGCAGAGCUGCAGUGAGCCUGUACAACGAGCUAGCGUAAGUCUCUGCAUUUCAUUUAAUUCGUACUGGCAUUCAUGUAUGAUUUGUGUGCAGUGGCCGAUCCACGAAUUCAAGUUACCAGGGGUGAACAUUUAACUUAAAAAAUAUGAAGGCACUUGCACUCCGGAAAUCAACAUAACUUGAGAAAUGUGAAGCUACAUGCACUUUGGAAACCAGCUAAUGAUCCAAAGUAGUUCAGAUUAUAAACACUAAAUGAUGCAAGCACCAAAAAACACAAAAUGCAACAUGGUGUACAAGGACUACAAACAUGGUCUGUACCUGCUUGAAUUAUUCGUUCUCUGGCUGAAAAUAUCGAAGUGUAAUUGCACAUAUAACCAGUGCGCAAACUGCAUAUCAAUAUAUCUAUCCUGCACAAGUAUGCCAAUAGUUUCAAACAACAGAUUAGAAAAGUAUUUAUGCUAUGUUGUCAUGAUACGGGGACUUUCUGGUAGAUGGCCUCAACGUUUCCUCAAGCUAUGAAAAUGCACUAUAAUUUGCUUGUCAUCAAUGCCUGCAAAUCUCUGUCUCUCUCAACAUAGUAGAUCAUCAUUAGACACUAAAUCCUUUAAUGAGCUUGCAAAAUGCUUGCAUUAGAUCCCUCAUUAGAUACUAUAUGUUCAUCACCAGGAGCAUGUAAAAUGUUUGCAUCAAAUCCUUCAUUAGCAGUCUGUUCAUUAGACACUUCAGGCUCAAGAACAACAUGAGCUUGUAGGUUUGCACCGGAAACUUGAUUAGAUACAUCAGAUUUAGUCAGUUCAGUAUUGAUUGGGGGAGUUAUAAAAUAAGUAGAAAUUGGUUUCAUUUUCUCAUAGAUUCCCUACAUACAAGCAGUUUUACAACACCGUCAGGUUUAACUAUUGGCCAGAAAUUGAAGAGUUGAAUUAGAUAUAAUCAGGGAUGUGAUGUACCUGCUCGUUGCGCAUGCUACUCUUGCAAGUUGCGACUGUCCGUUUGCGCAAGCUCGAUGCCAUGCCCGUGCUGCCGCCGCUGCCUCCCACACAGGCUACACCCAGGGUUGGAUCUUCAUCUUCUUGUCCUUCCGUUCGCUUGAAGCCCGGUGACCGUCCUCCAACGAGGGCGCGAGGAAGUGCUGUGUCGGUCUGUCCAGCGGCGGCUAUGUUAGGAGCAAACCAGACUGGAGGUUGGAGCGAAUGAAUUGGGAUUUUUCCUGCUGUCGAUCAAUAUGGGAGGCGCUCGUUUCAGCCGCGAGCCUGCUAUAGGGCCUGCCUUGCACUUAUGUUAUUGGCCCAUCCAAAUUGAAACAUUUUUUAUUCAUUUUUUACAUUGCCUGCUCGUGCGUUGGGACGAACAAAACUAGCAUGGGCCAACCUGGACGACUCAAACUAGGUGCACACUUUCCAGCCACCUGAGGCGGCCGCCCAUACCAGCCCCUAUGGUGGCGUCACCCCUUUUUGCGUGUAUGAUUGAACAGUGAAAAAUAUUCCAGUGGCGCUUUUGAUUUACCCACAGAAUGGUUGAAUUGAUUGUUUCUAUGAACUGAGUUCGCCAAUAAUGUGAAGGAUGCCAGUCUUUUCAUCCUAUUAUAGAUUGCUUAGAUCUUGAUAUGCCAAAACUAAUCGCAUGAAAUAUACUGUAAAAGCCAGUGUGAUGUGUUUGGCUACAACUAGUCUGACUACACGUCCUCAUAUAACAUAUCAAGGACGCACCAUCUUACCAGAUUAACCAUUCGACUUACCCAUGCAGUGUGGGAAGAAAGAAGUAUUGGGACUGCGUAUCCAAGCAAUUGAUGCCAUGGACUCCUUCGUACAACCUUGUAAGCAAAAAAGAAGUUGCAGUGUGCCUGUACAAAGAACUAGCGUAAGUUCAGUUACCUGCUUCUCGGAAUUUUAGUUAGCCACUUAUUGCAAAAUUGUUCAAUUAUGUUGCUUGGCUUAAUUUAGUUUGCUACUGAUUACAUAAUGGCACAACCUAUUAAUCAUAUUGUAGACUGCACCUAUCUAUGUUUUUGAUACUUACUGUUAAGAAUUACGUGUUUGCCUUAACUUAAAUAUCUACUUGUUUGUUUAACUGCUUUGCUGCUACAACAGCGGGUUACAAUGAUGUUAGUAACUACUUUUCAGUAUCCAAUUGAAACUCUUUAAUUCCUUGUUUGUUUAACUGGUUUGUUGUUAUAACUCCCAGUUGAGAUGUUUUGCUAACUUCAACUUUUCUGAAUCCAAUCGGAACUUUAAUGGAAAAAUAGGUUAGCCCAUGGUCAAAGAGAGAGGUCCCCAUGGAUGUUGCAUCAUACCACAGUAGUGGCACCGGCCCAAUCGUGCAUUAUGAAUUGCCAAUUGUUGAUGCUCUAGAGGCUAAACUAGUGGUAGAAAGAGAUUCUGCUUCUGCACUUAGAGAUGAAGUUGACAUGUUGAGGAAGCAAACAGCACAAUCACAAGCAGUACUCAAGACAACCAUUAAAUAUUUGGUGGAUUUCAAAACGAAGCAAGCUGAGACUGACCAGAUUGUUAAGGUCCUGAAGGAAAAAAGGAAAUUAAAUUCCUACUUGGUAAAUCAUAGGUGAAGUGUUCUUUCCAUAGUUGAAUAACCUUUGUGUUGUCUGUUCGUGUAAUCAAUCAAACCAUUUGUUUUAGUGAUCAUGUAAUAAUUGCUUUUUUUGUUUUUUGGUUUGUAAUUUUAUUUGAGCACAAGUGUGUAUUAAUUGAUAAGACUCAGAGACAUUUCAUUUGGAUUGUUGUGCAGACCUACAAAUAUGCCAAUCGGGCUGAAUGUGCAUUCAGCAAUAGUAGUAGUAUAGAUGGAUCAUAAGUGGCACGCAUCGGAAAGGGCCAAGAUGCUGGCUAAAAAAAGGAUGAUGUUGUAGCCAAAAAAAAGUACAGCGGCCUGGCUUAUGUAUGUUAGUUGAUAUUAUUGAUCCAUAUACUCUAUAAGUGUUUAUCUCCCUCUGUCCCAAAAUAUAAGAACGUUUUUAACACUACACUAGUGUCAAAAAUGUUCUUAUAUUAUGGGACAGAGGGAGUAGUUCUGUACAUUCUUGGUUGAUUGACUCGGUAUUUGAAUCUUGAUACAUCGCUUGUGUACAUAUCUAAAUGGGAGUACACAUUAUGCUAUGUGUGACAUUUGAGUUGGACAUGAAGUGUUCCAAAUAUUCGAAUUCACCUUAAACUGGAUUCUAGUUUCUGAAAUUUAGUAUCGGCAUUUGUAAACCAUAUUCAUAUAUGACAAUGGAAUACAUCUUUGUCGUCCUUUUGAAGAUAUAUAAAAACACAUAGAAUGAUUUAUAAAGAUUCAUAUAGGAAUACAAAAUGGAUUCGAAUUUAGUUGCCAGGGUAAACGUGGAUGCUUAUUGUCCCAAAAUUCGAAAGAAGCAGCAAAAUGUCCACUCCCACGUCGGCUGCCCGAAGCCAAGUGUUUGGGAGAUGGAAAUUACUGUCUACCCAUUACACGGACAAUCCAUUGGCCCGAUUUCCACUGCUCUAAAUAGGGGUAGGUAAGUAACUUCAAUUAGACGUGACACGACCGCCUCUGAGCCCAUUCCGACACGGUGGGCGUCAAACAUGGGCCGCAAAACACAUUUGAUUCAAGCUCGUCCGAAAGACCUCCGUUUCUCCCUCCAUUCCCCAUUCAUACACGAUGGGCGGCAAAAUAAACUCGACUCGGCCGAAAUUGAUGUAGGCAAAUAUUUUCAAUAGGGGCAGGUUUGUAACUUCACUCAGAUGCGAUGCAACCGCCCUACCUGUUAGCCCCGUUCAUACACCGUGGGCGCCAACCAUGGGCGCCAACCACCGUCUCCUCACCCGAAAUCGCUCUGGGCAAAUAUUAGCGAGAUGCGAGAUUACCGUCCUAUCCCCAACCGACGAGACGUCCAAAUUUUAAACGGGGGCUAAGUUCGUAACUUUCCCAUAUUUCAGACAGGCGCGUCCUAGAAACAUGGUUCCCCGUACCUCUCCCUCCAUUUUCCCAUUCAUACACCGUCCAUGCUAGAACACCCCAUCCCCACACCAGCCUCCGUCCGCCACCCCAUCCAUCGCCGAUGUCCUCCACCACAUCCAUCGCCACCGUCCUCCACCAUGCCGGAGCGCCUACCAAGACUGCGUCGUCCACUGCUAGAGAUGGACGUUUCUCAUCCACGACGACGGACCAAUAGCCUUGCAUCGCGUCCUCUCGCUUCAUCGGUGCCGUCGUCCUCUUUGUCGGGGCCGCUCUUCCACCGCAACGGGACUUAUCCCCCGAUGCACCCGUCUACCGUUGCAGAUCUGCUUCAACGCCACCGACAACCAUCUCACCCCCGAUGCCUACACGACGCCACAAGAGAGGUGGUACUUCAUAUCUCCUCAACUUUUUGAUCUCAACCAGAAAAUAGAUCUUAACUUGGUUACUCUACUUUCUUUUCAGCUCUUAGAAUUUAGUUCUUAGUUCGAAGCAAACAAUGGAUGCUAAAUAUCAUUUCUCCGGUUUGCAGCUUCAAAUCUACCAUGGCACAACCAUAAUACGGUUUAAUUGAUCAUGCUUAGGGUUUAAUUGAUCAUGUUGGUUCCGUGGUGGUUUCUUUAAUAGAAAUCGGAGAGGAAACCCUCUUUUCCUAAAAAAAUAUGCUUAGAGUUUCCCCCUUUUAUGAUCACUAUAUGAUCAGAAUAUGUGCUUCGUGUCAUAAUAACACUGCUCCACCCAUCAAGCUAAACAAGCUUAGAUGUUCAAAUACGAAUCUGAUAUUAUUAAAACAGAGUUGUUUAAUUGGUCAGCUAAACAUUCCUAAAUUAGUUUCGAAAAUGCAUGUUUGCCGCUCGGGUGUGUAUCUCUACAGGGUGCCCAUGGUGGGCCGGCCCACCCUGGGAUUUUGGGUCGUCCCAGGCCCUGAUUCCCCUCUAUUCUAUUGCACGCUUCCGAUCUCUACUCGCCCCCAGCCGUGCCUACCUUCCCAGUCCGGGCACGCCGCCGUGCCUACCUUCCCAGUCCGUUCAGGGCUCAGGCGUGCAACACCCACCAAGCCAACCUGAUUUAUCCUGAGAUACGUCCUCAACACUCAGCAGCCACUCCUCAUCACCCAUUUUCUAAUUGAUUCAUUACUCAUUAGGCAGGACUGUCAUUAGGGUUUGUUGUGUGCUCAGUGCUACCUACACUUAAUGGUUCAGAUGUAUUUCGGUAAUCUUUAGUACCUCUAAAGUUCACAGGGUUUUCAAAAUUCCAGCCCUCGGAACAGAAACUAGUCAUUUUGGAUUGUUGGUCGUAGUGACAUUGACCCAGAUUACUACUGCAAGCCAGGUUUGUUCACAAUUUUACUUGUCUUUCUUACUCAUUCGAUAUAAUAUCCAAUUAUUCACGUCGAUUAGUUGCAAACAAUAAGUGCUAGACAAACUUCUUCAUUCAGAUUUUGGACGAUCUCUUACUGCAGUUACAAUUCUGCAUACUUGUCCUAAUAAGCUCACAAGUAAAUGAUUGAUUCACUACAUCUAUGCUUGCCUUGUCAUAUUUGUUGUCAAUAUUCUUUUAGUGUGGACCACCCUGUUUCUAAAUACUGGAACCGUAGACAUGAGUGAAUAGUAUUUCUCUAUGUGAUCUCUUCCAUCAUGUGUGGGUAACGAACACUACAUUGUAUAGAAAGAAAGUGUCAUUUCUAGCUUUUACAUAGGUUUCGAUCUUUUACAUGGAAUACAAUCUGCCUACUUGCUUUGUGUCGCACUACCAACACUCCACCCUUGAAGCUAAACAUUACGCCACUCAUAAUUGCUUAGUUUGUUUGUUCAAAUACGAAUUUCAUAUGAUUCUAAUGUUCCUACUUCAGUUUUGAAAUGUGUGCCUGCCUGUUAUAGAGACAUAAGGGGUUUGUAUUUCUGUGUGUGGUCUGGUCAGCACGGUUGGGGAGGUGAACUUUGCAUAUGCAGGGGUUUAUAGGGAGACACUCUCCAAGUUGAAUCCGCAAUGCAUUCCAUAGAUAAUCUGACUACUUUUUAUGUUUUCAUGAAUCUCAGAUUCUGAAUAGCAUCAUAAUGAUUAUGAGCUUGCGCGCAUGGAAAGAAUAAAGCAGAACAAUGCCAUGGCUGUCAAACUUGGCAUUAAGGGACUGAAAUCAAGUCUGGAUGCAAUGCAAUGCAAACACUCUCCACCUACAGAUUCAUGCUCAAUAUGAUCCUAACAGUGAUUCUGAGCUAGAGGGAGACCUAAGUCAAUGUAUCUCCCUAGUGGAGGAGUCAGAGGAAGAUGACCUAUCUUAUUCACCCAUCAAGGUACUUGCUCUAACUUUCCAAGGUUACAUUGCUCGCACAUAUCUUGCAACUGAUGCUUUGCAUUGCUUCUACUUUGUUGAACUGUCAUUAGCUUAGUUUACACAUCGUGUAUGUGAAUACACCCUGCCUAUCCAUUUUUAGUACAUAUUCCAUCUUUCAUCAUACCAUAUUUAUCCAUUCAAAUGUUGUUCUUGUGUAUCAGACGUUCAAAAGGAAGAGGGCGAUUGCUGAUCAUGGAGGAGCAUAAGCAAAGUAUUUGGAAAAGGUAGUGGCACCUGAUAAAUCAAAUAGCCCAUUAGGUGUAGUUGCAAUAUCACCUGACCCACAAAAUACCCCAACUCUAGCAGACUCUAGCCCUACUACACUGGUCAUUUCUGAUGCCCCAACUCAGCAGAACCCAACUACAGCAAACAGUAUGAUUAUGCCAGUUGACAUAGCACCAGCUGUACGACGCAAAACCCCCAUUCCAGCAAAGAGUACACCAAAUCCAGUUGCCAAAUCCCUUUUUGAACCAGAGAGCCCCAAUUGCAGAAAAUAGGACCCCUGUUCCAUUUCUUCCCAGUUUAGAAGACGAAGCUUAUGUUGUUGUCAGGAACUUUGUGCGCAUCUUUCCUUCAUGGAAAGAUUAUACUGCAGACACAGAGCAAUUUCCAGUCUUCCUCCGCAACUUACGCGUAAGUAAUGUACUAAUGUUAUUCAUGGUCAUUAUUACAUAAGUUUCUGCUGACAGAAGACACAAGAUUUCAUUCUUUUAAAUAGGCGAGGAGCAAACUGGAUUGUGAUGACGAGCAAGAGUUGGUUGCGCUUUUCAAGCACUCGUUGAUGAAGUAUCGUUCCUACCUGAGGCAAGCGCACUUCGAUGGCAAGCCUCUGAACGAAAUUUCUGUAAAGUCUCCGGUGCUACAUUUAUCCGACGGUGACUGGAAUAAUCUUGUAACACAUUGGUCUCGGCAGCAGCGUAAGGUACUGUCUAUGAUAUCACAUCACAAUUUGAACUACAUUUCUGCAUUUUCCUUAAUGUCUCACUUGUACGAAAACUGUUAGCAGAAGAACAUUCAUUCUCAAGGGACCACAGAAUCUCGCAACUAUACUGCACACUCCAUUGCUCUUGUGAGUACCUCUGGCCCUGUAUGACCAUACUUACUUUCAUAGCUGUUUUAUUAUGUAGCAUCACUACACAUGUUAGCCUCGUAAUCGUCCAUUUGGUGGACAUUAUAAGAUUCAUAUGGACUCUUACACAAAUUUAGAAUCAACCCAAUGCUUUUGAAGAGGUUUAGCUCUGUAGUCCUCUUGUAAGGACUGAACGUGGUCUAUCACUGUACUUACAUUAACAGCUACUCCCUCCGUCCCAUAAUAUAAGAACAUUUUGUACAGUACACCAGUAUUCAAAACACUCUUGUAUUAUGGGAAGAGGGAUUGGUUCAUUUUGUAGCAUUCUGCAUCUUAUCUCCCUCGCCCACCAUUUACUAAAAAAGAUCAGAUCUAUAUUUAAUCUUACCAACAAGUAGAAUACACAUACAAUGCCAAUGCAGAAGUGUAGCCCAUUGCUCUUAUCAGUACAUUUUGUCCUGUAACGCUUGUACUUCCAGGGAUUGGUAGUUUAUUAUGUAGCAUCAAUCUGCAUCUUAUCUUCAUUAUCCUCUAUCCCUUCCAGUAUUAUCAUAUCUAUAAUUACUCUCUACAAAAUGUAGAGUACAUGCAAUGCUUAUGAAGAAGAUUCUGUGCUAAAAUUCUUGAGUUAUCCUUCCCUUGACAUGGAGAAGGGCAUUAUAAAGCCGGUGUUAACUGUUAAUGUAAGUUAGUCCUUCCAAAGCCUUUAUCCUCAACUACUGUUUAAUCUGCUCAUACUCCCUAUCAUUUACUGCUGUUUAGUUUGCUGUUUCUACCAAAAUGCAUGUUCGUAAGAACCAUAAGUUCUAAGUUUUACUUGUGAAACCAAAUUCCUUAUUCAUACCAUGCACAUUACUUAAUACUCCCUAUACGUAUGCUUGGUUUUGUGGAUCUAUAAUCUAGUGUGUGGUGAAGCAGCCCACGUUUGCACCUUGUCAUCUCCUGUUUUAUCUUACUGAUGUGGCUGAUGAUAUGAACAACAUGCCAUGCACAUUAUCCAAAAUAGAUACAAUGAUUUUCUUUGCCCUUCAUCUAUGCUUGUUAUGUUGACAUGGUAAUCCAGUAGUGUGGUGAAGCUCCCCGCAUUAUGAACAAUGCCAAAUUAUGCUAUUGAUAUUUUGAACUUACUCUUUAUUUUCUAAUUUGAAAUUGGAUAGAAUUGACAGAACAAUUAUCAUCUUUGUUUAUACACGUGCAAAACCUAUCAUCUCUCUACUUUGUUUCAGGGUGAUAUGCCUGAUGGCAUGCACAAGUCUGCUGAAGGCUGUGAGACAAACCCAACAUAUAUUGCAGUAAAGAAGGCAAAACAUCUUAAAGAUAGCGAGACAACCCCAAAGUCUUGUCCUGAUGCAGUGUUCAAGUUACUUGAGACUAACAGUCAGACAAGCUCAUAGAAUUCGUUGUCUAAAUCAGUUCGACUUCUUCAGUCGCAAGUUCUAGUAGAAAGGCAUUCUGCAACUCAACUUCGACUUGAAGUCCUAUCUCUAAGAAAGAUUGCGGAGAACACCAACAAGAACCUCAUCGCUAAACAGCUACACCUGGAAGCUAUGACCGACAUGCUAGGCCGGUCUCACAGCCUUGCUCAGCAGCUUGCGCAGCAGUUCCCCUGCAAGGCUAACCUUUCUUGAACUGUCUUGGAAGUGGUCUCGGUUCAGUAUUAUUUUGUUACGCUGCAAUGGUGCCCAGUUUUUGUAAUCUGCUUCUUCGUUGCGCUUUAUGAUCACUCGUGGCGAACUUCGAUGCCCAGUGGAUGUAAUAUACCUUAAAUCCUUUAUUGUAUAGUGUAGAUUUAUUCUUAGUUACUAUGCCGUAAUUUCUUUAUUGUACAGAGUAGGUUUGUUCUUAAUUCCUACUAGUUACUGCCAUCAUUCGCUAUCUGGAAAAAAAUCAGAUGUAGUCAACCCGGCCGAAACAUUUGACUCUAACGGGCUAGGUUUUUAGCGGGCAACAAUUGGGCUGGCCUGCAUCUUUCUUGGGCCCGAAUGAUUGGGGCCUUCACACAUUGCGCCAGGCCCAAACUUACACCGGCCUAUAUUUUAGUUGGGCCUUUUGUCGACCCAACGCUUAGUUUGGCCCAGGUAGCGUUAGGCCAUUAACAGGCUGAAUAUUGUACUGGCCUGUUACGGCCGAGAUGAAACCACGGGCCUUUAGCAGGCCAAAAUGCAUGUUGGGCCUCAAUUUUCACUAGUCGUCGAUGGGCCUUCAGCAGGCCGAAAUGUAGACCGGGUCGUUUUGGGCCCAGUUAGCUCACGGGCCGUUACCAGGCCGAAACAUAUCUCGGGCCUUAGUUGGCCCACUGAUAUCAUGGGCCAUUAAGAGGCCGAAAGCUUAGUACAGGCAUCAACUGGCCGAAUUACGCGACAGGCCUUUAACAGGCCCAAAGUCACGUUGGGCUUAACUGUUGCCACCUUUAGGACGUGUCGUUAGUGGGCUCGAUGUCCUGUCGACCAUAUAUGGCCCAUGGGCAGCACAUGCCAUUCCCAGGCCGAAAGUCACACCGGGCUGAAAUGGGGCCAUGUCUACAUCAGGCCUCUAACAGGCCGAAAGUCACUGGGCUAUAGUUGGGCCCAAAUUCGGCGAACAAUUAGCGGGCCAGAUCUGGCUUCGGGCCAAAAAUGGGCCCAAAUAUUGGGCGAACAAUUAACGGGCCAGAUCUGGCUUCAGGCCGUAAAUGGGCCCAAAUAUUGGGCGAAGAAUUAACGGGCCAAAUCUGGCUUCGAGUCGUAAAUGGGCCUUUAUUAAGCAGGCCAUUAUUGGGCUGGCCCACUAGUACCUGAUCAAGUUAUAUGGGCCUUUGACUGGGCCGGCCUUUUUAACCUAUAUGGGCCUCUGUUGGGCCCAGCCACGUGUCGACGUAUCAUAGGCAUGUAUCCUCCAAUGGACGGGCGACAUCUGGCCCACUGACGAGCUGACAGGUGUUCCCUUCGGCCAAUCAAAAUUUUACACGUGGAAAUUUCCCAUUGGUCGGGGCUGUUAACAGGUUAUUGGAUCCAAAAUCUGACCCGAUAGCUUAACGGCGUUCCAUUACGGUGGAUGCCACGUGUCGGUCACCCUUGAAGAAAGCACUUCUGUGACGCGUGAUUUAUCGUCAUGGAAGUGGACACUUCCGUGAUGAUAAUUUUGGUAAUGUCAUGGAACACUUCUACGACAGUACAGGUAUGACUAUCUUGAUUCUGUCAUAAAUUUGUCAUGGAUGUACAUGCAUGACGAAAAACGCGACCUACUGUGACAAACAUGUAUCAUCACGGAAGUGUAUUUUUUUGUAGUGUAACCCACAGUUCCACAGGAUCGAAACCUGACUCUCCUAUGCAUCCCUACUUCCAAGGUUAUUCUACCGCUUGGAUUCAUAUGAGAUUCACGAGCCACCUUCCUAGAGAUCUAUUCCGGUUUCAGACGCAAUACUUACUCGUUGCUCUGAACUCCUUUCACGCUCUGUUUCAGGCAUCGAAUGAUUGCCUACCCGCUUGAAGCUUCUAUUUGCAUCUUCUUACUUUGCUCUCGAUUUUUUUCUGAUUCGAGACUUAAUUUCUUCCACCUUCCCUGAUGAUAUCUACCAGAUAAGCAACCUUGUAGAGGACCGUUCUUCCGAAGUUACCCCUUGUCCUUCCUUAAGUACGAUAAAGACCCCGAAGAAAGGAUGAUGAAUUCUUCAUGAUGAUCUGAAGUAGAGAAACAAAGACAUCAACGAGAGGGAUCGAUUUCUUUGAAAAGAGCAACCAAGGAUGAGAAGAUCGUUAGAAAUUCGUAACCAGAACUUUCCCCCUUACCCGCCCUCUUAAAUCUCGGGACAAGAUUUCUUGUAGUAGAGGAGAUUUGUAACACCUCGAGAAUCAUGCUAUAGUAAUCUCCCCGUAAUGAUGGCCAUGUCAUCAUGAUUACAAUGCAAAUUGCCAUUCGAUAAAAAUCAAAGUCAAUUUCGAAUUUAAAAUAAAGUGAAAAUAAAUUAUUUAUUCAAACUGUCCAGCAAAAAUGUUCGUUGGGUUGCAAUUAAUCACUAAGUAUUUUUUAUGUAGAAACUAAUAUUAUUUGAAAUAAUAUAUUGCCCCCAACCUAUUUAACUCAGUGCCCAAAACAGCAUAUUUAAUCCUUAUGUUUUUAAAAAGAAAUUCAGACAACUUCAAAUCACUCCCAAACAUUUUGUGGCAGUGAGGUAUAUUGCAUACUAAAUUUUGAGACCAGCCACGCAUUUUACAAGUCAUUUGGUGCUCCAAUUAAAGGCAAGUAGUAAAGAAAUAAAUAACACUAAAAAAAAGGAGGAAGAAAAGGCCUAAAGCUACGGGAGCGACUGAGCCUUAGGUGCACAGAGGCCUAGCCCAGCCGCACCUCCCAUGUCUUCCACCUUGCUACAGGGAGGCAGUGAUCAUGGCGGCAAUCCACCCACCAUGGCUGCGCCUCGGACACGCGGCGGCCAUCCCCCGGCCCUCUGAGAGGUUAAGAGCAUCCCCACACCCCGUGGAACCCUAACCCUCGUUUCUCUUCCCCGCUCAAUUCCUCUCUGGAUCUGAAUGUUGAACCGAGCCAUCGUCACCAUGGCCUCCGAUGUCCACGCGCCCACCGAGCUCCCCGCGCCCAGCCACCUCGACCAGGAGCUUCACCGAUGUCCACUCCGUCGACUAAGUCCAUCGUUCGGAGCCGGGAGCCCCUACAUCGACCACAUCGAGGUCAUCUUCAACCUUCGCCCCGUCUUUCGCCGUCUUUGAAACGGCCUCAUCAGAGCCUCCCCGACCUUCC
rnacentral:lncRNA from 1 species